rnacentral:lncRNA from 1 species
GCCUUGGAAGCGCAGACAGUUGAAUGGUGGACGGAGCUACGGUCUCUUGACGCACCAAGGAGCACCGGACUAGCAACUCUGCAACUAACAGAGUGGAGAAAGCGCCCCUUAAUGAAAAGAAAAACAGCCGGUGCAAGGCUUUAUACAAAGAAUGUGACAGCCACUGCGUGUAUCCGAGGCUUUAUACAACUCUGCCUUAUCUAAUCUACCGAGGAUUGUUGCGUAUGGAUGCGUAUAGAUUAUGCACGUACUCCCUCCUCCGUCCUAAAAUAAACGCACAUCUCGUUUCUCGAGGAGUCAAACUUUUAAGUUUGACUAAAAUUUAUAAAAAAAAUGUACUACUAUUUAUAAUGUAUAAUAAAUGUCAUUAUUGAGCAUUGGGUAUACUUUCCUAAUACAUUUAUUUGAAGAUGCAAAUAUUGUUACUAUUUUCUAUAUUCUUAGUCAAACUUAAAAACCCGUCAUGGGGAUUAGUCACGAUAUAAGUAGGGACUAGCAAGCAUCAAAACCCCAUUCACUGCCCAUCUAUCGCUCAAAUAAAAGAAACCAUUGCAUAUGGUGGCGAUGCGCUCGCGAGCCUUUCUCCAACCUUUCUGCUCUCGCGAGCCUUGAACUCGCAUGGAACAGUUUUAGUGAGAGUGUGCCUCCAACUUUGGGAAGAUUGUGAAGCCUUAUUUACCUGUCCUUAAGUGGCAAUAAGUUAUGAUCGAAUGAUAAGGACGGAUUGGAAUUCAUCACCAUGCUAGCAAACUGCAGCCAGCUUCAGCAACUGGCUUUUGAUAAUAAUUCAUUCAUCGGUGAACUUCCUAGCUCAAUAGCAAAUCUAUCGACAACUCACCAAUUACUCUAUAUAGGAAACAAUUGGAUUUCGGGAUUUAUUCCAUCCAGCAUAGGUAAUUUGCUUGGUCUAGAACUGCUUACGUUGGCAAAUACUUUCAUAUCCGGAGUGAUUCCAGAUAGCAUUGGUCGCAUAGAAGACAUGUCCGUGUUAGGCAUUUACUACGCUAGCUUGUCAGGCAUCAUACCUUCAUCACAAGAAACCUUACACAGUUGAAAACUCUAUGCAUACGAUAGCAACUUGGAGGGUCCAAUUCCAGCAAGCUUGGGGAACUUAAAGAAUCUUUUUGUUCUUGAUCUUUCAACGAAAGUGUGUUACCCGUUAAGAUUUCAUGUCGAAGCAGAGCAUAAACCUCUCUCAAGACUGCAAAGCUAUCAUAGAGCAGAUCAGUCUGAGGGCCGGGCUAUGUACCCUUUCGGUAAGAUUACCCCAAACUAGAGUCUGUAAUUAAUUAGCCAAGACUAGAAUUACGUAGUUCUUGUGGUUGUACUGUUUUCCUGGGUGGCCGCUCCAUGUUCCAAUUAAGCAUGAUGAUCUUGUAUUAAUAAAAGGUAUAUCAUAAAUAAAACAAGUUUAAUCAUUGAGUUCAUUAAAACCAUCACAACCCAAGGUAUUGCAACUAAGCAUAUCUACCAAAAAAAGGGUAAAACCCAGGUUGACAAAGAAUGAUCAUAAAAACUAGGUAAACCUUAAUAGGGCCCAUCAAUUUUAAGUGCACAGCAAUGCAAAAGUGAUUAAAUAUAGUUAUUGGGACAAAAGCACAUGGACACACUUGCCUUUCUCCAAAGAAUAGCUGCUCUGAUUAUCUUCAACUCUUGUUCCUCAAAGCUCUCGAACAACGUUCCUUAUACUCACAUCAAUCAUUGGCACAAGCAUACAAAGCAAACAACAAUCACAACUAAGAACAAUACAUCAAUCAUAGGAAAGCUUUAAAAGAGCGCACUAAAGGAUAAGGCUUGAAUCUGAAACACUGGGAACUAAACUAUGGUUGAAAUGACAAAGCUAUCGAGAGAUUUGAAUUAUAAAAGAAAGAGAAAAGCCUAUGCGCUUCAUAUAUUUCAAUAAAGAAAAUAAUGUAAAGAUAUUUUAGAGAAACAUCCUUAGCAAGUUAUAUUUAUAUAUGAAAAGAUAAUGUAGAACUUAGUCAAAUUUUAUUUAUAAACAUUCAAGUACAAUUUAUGCAAAUUAAAAAUUUAAUUUGAAAAUAAAGUAUAUGGAAACAUCUAAGCGCAUAGCUUUAUGAUUCGGGUUGAACUAACCAAAUAUAAUUCAAAAACAUAUUUAUAUUUAUAUUAAGUCAAAUUAACAUAUAAUUAUGAAACCUCGAGAUAUAACUUAUGUAGCUUUUAUUUAGAAAACAAAUUGAAUAAACAUUAAUCAAUUUAAGUUCAAUUAUGAACCACCGUGGUGCAUCUCUAAUUCACUUUUAAUUGAAAGAGUUAUUUAAAUAAGCAUUAACUAAAUUAAUAUUUAUUAUGAAAAGUGGUUAUAACACUAAGUAGCUUUUAAUUAAGGAAGGCAUGUUUAACAUGCAUUAAUUAGAUUAAUAUUAAAUUUAUUUUAAAAACAUGCAUGAUGGAAAGAUCAGUACUAACAUGUAAUUUGUGUUAUCACGAACCUAACUCAACAAGAACGGAUAUAAACGGAGCUGUAACGAGGAGUCUAUGGGUUAAACAAGGUUGCAGGGCCUAAUCACGAUUAACGGAAGGUUGUUGGGGCUAGCAAGGAAGAUUUGCAAGACACUGGAAUAGAGCUCGUUAUUAGGUCAAAGCAUAGGGUUAGAUCUGUUAAAGUGCUCAGGUUGGACUUGGUUGCACGGAUACAAUCUAAUCAGGGACAUGGAUGAAAAAAACAAGACACAAGGAAAAACUAACUAUAUAUAGAGCUUUCUAGGGGCCUAUGCGCAAAAGCACCAUAGCUCAGCAUCCAUGGUGGACGGGCUCCUUGACGGCAAAAUCCUCAUGCUGGAUUUAUAAGCCUGGUAGUCCACCAAGGGGUUUCCCAAGUAGUUGAUUUGUAGGUGAGGGUGAUUGUGAAACCAAGAACUCGAAGGUGAUUGUGAGAACACGAAGGGACACAAAGGUUUUAGACAUGUUCGGGCCUCCGAAGAGUAAUACCCUACGUCCUAUAUGCUGGUUUGUAUUGCUUGAGAUUGAUGUGAUUGUUGCGAUAUCCUCGGGGGUGCCCUUGGCCACCUUAUAUAGGUUGACGACCAAGAGUUAAAAGUCGGUUUGAAUCUAAUCUACUCGGUAGUUACAUGGAAAGUAAUCUGAGUUGGACUACAAUACACGUUCCAUGAUAUCCGAGCAGAUUUGAACUGUCUUGUUGCCUUGACUUGCACUCCAAGUAACUUCAUAUCCUCGGCCCACACGCCCUGGUCGAGCGAGCCCUACUUGUCAGGUUCGGCCAGUAUCCUGGUCGGCUGGGGCCCAUGGGGUACCCAUUUCUCUCAAGCCCCCGAGCGUUGUGUAGGCAAAUAGAAACUUGAGGUCACCAAAACGAAACUUGAAAUGAAGUCGGCUGAAGCUGCGAAGGCGUCAUUGCGACGGAGAGGCUGCGCAGUGCUUAAAAGAAGAAAAUCUGAGCAAACACAGAGCCAACGCGUAGAGCGAAGACGAGUGCCGAGUUGAUGGAUGCUGGCAUCCAGUAGGUCGGAGCGAAGGUUACGGAGGGCGUCGCAAGAGAAACUCCGUAGGAGUAGCCCCCGAGCAUUGAAACGAUUAAGAUAAUCGGUACAUUGGUCAAAGUACAAAAAAUUAUCCCAUGAUGUAGAUCCUAGUGCUCGAACACAAGGAUGGGUGCAGCCAUGGAGGCCCGCCCACUAGAAGUAGGCACCCAGACCCAAGGACGAGGACUGAUAGGACCGCGUAGCCACGCUGACCUGAAAUAGGCGUCCAACCCCCGAGGACGAGGACUAGCGGAGCCGCGGAGGCAUGCUGACCUGAAGUAGGCGCCCAGCCCCCGAGGAUGAGGACUGGCGGAGCCAUGAAGGCACGCCGACUUGAAAUAGGCACCAAGUGUAACAACUCUACCUAAAUUAAGUGCUUUUAAAUAUAAACUAGUGGCUAAUCACUAAGUUAAAGAAGUAAAAUGACCAUUUUAACCCUAAGAAGCUCUUUUUGGAGUUUGAAAUAAAACUUGGAAUUUUAUAUGCAAACUUAAAAUUUUGCCCAAACAAGAGUUGUAAAACUUUCAAUUUCAAACAACUUUUGUUAAACGAACUUUGACUAAUUCAGAGUGGGAGGAAGUCAAAAAUAGCAAUCAAAACUGGAGUACUAAAGAACCCUAUAAACCUCCUAAGUCCUGGUUUUCAAAUUUUCCCUCCAACUUUGCAAGCCUUUAUCUCAUGAUUUCUUAUCCAAACUCAAGUCAGGCUCUUAAUAAAAGUUGUAGUCCCUCGAGUGUGUUCCAACUUUGUUACACUGACCCAGGUCCAAAUCGGGCCAGAACCUGUUCAAAAUCUUGGUCAAAGUGAGGUAAAACAGUCAACUCAUCCCUUGAGCCCCACAACGCUAAGUCUGAAAAACUGCUCAGAGUGCACCUCUUGGCGAGGGCGUUCCUCCAAAUUUUUGAACUAAACUCAAGAAAUACCCUAAAUAAAAGCUUAAACCCAGGGACCCCUACGUAGUUAAACCUUAAACCCAGGGGCUUGCUUGCAACUUUGUCACAGCUUUUCUUUUAAAUAAUAGGCAGAAAUAUGGUUGAAUUUUGUAAAUGCCCAGUAAAUCGUAGAAUAAUCAUAAAAAUGCCAAACUACUUUUGCUAGAAUCCUUUCUCUGUCUAGUUCCUAAGAAAAAUAAGUUUGCUCAUGUUACUGUUGUAAAUAAUAUCCUACGCUUUUAAUCAUGUUGUAGGCCUUUUAAAUCCUAAUAAAUAGAAGAAAAGUGGGAAAAAUGUGGAACCAACUCUGUGAUGCUUGUUUCUAUGUGUAGAAGCUUAGAAAAAUAGUUAGGGCUCUGGUGUAGCACUUUAAGUCACUGUUUUGACUUUAAAUUGGGAAUCUAAGUAUAAAUCUUCCUUUUUGCAUAAGUUUUGAUCUAGAGCUUAGAAAAAUGUGAAACUAGUUGGGUUAAUUUUGUUUUGCUGUAAAGUUCUCAGGAAAAAUAUAAAUUGUUGUGCAAAUCAGAAAUAAAAACACCUUCCUUGCUAAGCAUGUUUAAUUAAGAAAAGAAAUAGAGUAAAUAGUAACCUUGUCCAAAAAUUACGAAAAAAUUCACCAAAGCACCUGUAACAUACCCUUAACACACUGCUUAAGUUUCACCCUCUGUUGCACAAUAAUUUUGAAGAUGGAAAAAAUUAAGCUCAGUUUACCUUUAAUAAUAAAAUGCAUGUAACUUCUUUUUAAGUCAUCCUUUGGCCCCCAAACUUUUACAGUAACCUAGUGAUGGCUUAAGUGAGGUGCUGUAAUUUUAUCAAUGACUUUAACUACUUUUUGGAUAUGAAGUCAUUUUGGUUAAUUAAUCAACCUAAAGGAAUAAAAGGAGAGCGCGAAUUCUAAUACGAUAAAUAAGUGGACACUGAAAGAGGUACAUAAAAACAUUCAGAAGUAAGUAAUUAUUCCAAUGCAUCCAAACCACCCAACACGACCUUUCACACUCUUUAUGCAACUCUAAAUGCAAGAAAGCUAUAUAUGUACACAAUCGCCAUUCAACGCGAACUCAAGUUUAAAACGACCACUUUCGUUUGAAGUUAAAAAAAGUAAACCUCAUCAAAGUGUUUGUGGCUGUUGUGACUCUUGUCUUAAGCCAUGCCUUGUGUCGUUGAAUAAACGCGCGAGUCCAACUAAAUUUUUGUAUGUGCAUGUCGUAUAGAAGCAACUCUCGCCGACGGAACCUACGAGCUCCACCCGGCACCAGAGAAAGACCCCGCUACGGAGCUUCACCACUUGGAAGGCGAGCCCGAACCGGAGCAAGAUCCUGAGGACCCGCUAACUUUUCCUGAAGGCAAGCCCCGGAGCAUAAAUUCCUAUCUUUGAAUACUUGCAAUAUUAUUGAACACUUUGAUUGCGCAUUUACGUUUCUAGGAGUUGUAAUGAAACCUUAGAUGCAUGAACUUAGUACCUUGUUUGAAUACUAGUUGCUAAAGUCGAGUAGUUGCAAUGCUUAAUAGGUUCCGGUAAAAGUCGAGUGAUUUCCUAUCACUCGCGAGUUAUAGGAGUUGAAUGUUUACUUAUGUUGCAACUAUAAGGACGAUGGAUGUGGUCGGGCUUAUGUUCGAUACUUGGUGGUUUUUCCCCGUCUGUCUAAAGGAAAUUGAUCUAAGGUUGAAAUGUGUCGGCGUUCGUGAUCAAGUGUUUGAAAGUACUAAUCUCAUACCUAGUAUGGGAUGGGGAAGCCUAGUACCUGAUUGAACUGGGGCAUGGCAUACUCCCCCAGCUGCCUUGGAACACCGUUCCCAUGGUGCAUCAUGUGGGUGCAAGUGCGGUCAUAGUACGGCAGAGGCCGGGAUUAUGGAGCAUGGCAUGCCAAAGGCAGUUGGCCCUGACACGUGCCUAAGGGAUCGAUGGGGACGGCUGACAAAUGAAGCAACCCUUCGUGGUGCGCGGAUGUCGUGAGAUUAGGUUCGCCAUGCAUGGUUAAUAAAUUCGAAUCGAUUCGUCUGCCUCUCACAGUUUGGGACUACUUGAUCGCUAUUCUGCACUGAGUAACGAUGAAACAUGAUUACGAGAUUAAGUUGAUGCUUGUUAUUUAACUGCUUGGAAAUCAUGCUUGUUUAGCAUAAGUGGCUAAUCUAGAAUGGUUAAAGAACGUAGAACUUGAGCUAAAAUAUUGAAAGUAAGGACUGAUUGUAGACGCUUGUGGCAAAGAAAUCGCAGAGCCAGAAAGCCUUGCAUGUCUAGGUCUUGGUAAAGCUUUUCACUCGACGGGUCAGUCUUGCUGAGUAUUAGUUGCUCAGCCUUGUUGUGGCUUAAUCUUUUCCAGUGAUGUCAAUAGUUUGGUUGCGGGCACCACUUGGCCUACCCAGCUCCCUCCGGGCUGGACAGUCGAGUGGGAUCCCUCCUCGGACGGCGAGGGAAGGGAUUUUUGAUGUCAUGAUUGGAUCCGUCGUGAUGUCAUGUAUCGAUGUUUAGCUUCCGCUUGUUUUAUCCGACUUUUCGAACCUUGCAACUUGUUUGAAUUUUCAGAAACUCUGAUGUAAUAAUUUGUGACACUAAGGAAUGUGAUGGAAUGUAGUAAUCUCUGUGCUACUCACCUUCAUGUGAGCGAUGCUUCUCGAUCCUGUUUAGGUGGUUCAUCGGAUGAAAUCCAACGGUCGACCAGUUUGACUUGCUUAAAGUGCAUAAUCGCGUGUCAGGCGACUUCAACGCAUUUUAGUCAGGUUAAUUUGGGUGGUUCCGCCACAGCUAGCAUCAGAGCUCGAAGCACGGUAUGGAGAACAACAAACCUUAAAACACUUUUCCUGACUAAAACUUGCAAGAAACGAGUUGAAAAAUUCGUAAGUUCGUUAAGGAUGAAUUUAGUACGAGGAGCCCUAGGGGAAUUUUGGGUCUUUUAAGGUGGCUAAUAAUUAUUGGUUAUCUUCUGACUUCCAGCACUUGUUACCACGUCUAUCAUACGUGUGCCGAGAUCUGCAUCGCGAGUGUGCGAAGGGUGAUAGGAAUUCGAUUCCAACGAGCCUAUCAUCACGGUUGUUUCGCCCACGUCUAUUAUACGUGCGCAGGUUCCGUAUGUUAAUUCAUGCGAAGGAUGGUAUGGUUCGAUUCCAACGAGCCUAUCAUCACGGUUGUUCGCCCACGUUUAUUAUACGUGUGCAUGAUUCCGCAUCACGAGAAUGUGAAGGGUUAUAUGGUUCUAUUCAAGGGAACCUAUUUCCACGGUUGUUGCGCUGUCCAUGCAGCGUUAAACGCAUGGGUGCCGUUUCUAUAGUGAACGGUAAUGAUUGUGGACGCUUUUGUGAGUACUGGCACGGAAAGUUCAAGCUAUGAUGUGUUUUUCUGCGGGUACACUAACAACGUUGCGUACGAAACGAUGCUUAGCAACUCGACUAGUUAUUAUAGUGAGAGUCGUAUUGUUGCCUUGCCACCGGCACUAACCACGUAAGUUCAAAGAUUUUUGGCGAUUAUUUUUGGUUGAGAGGAUGACUAGGACGUGCAUGCAUUAAGAAAUAAAAACCGCAACCUAAGGAAAUAAAACCAAGCUCGAGUGUGUCGUAAAAAGAAAUGCACCGCGAUAAGGAUCGUCUAGUUGUCCUUUUUUUUCCGCCAUGCACGUUUAAAUAAAUCUUUCAGGUUGUUCCAUAUGAUAACUUCAGAAACUUUAUAUAAGAAAUUUGUGUUAAAUCUCCCAAGUAAACUGCUGAAAAUUUUUCACAAAGUACUACCACUUGGGUUGAGAGUUGUGAUCAGUUUUGUGACCCCCUGUUGGCUGUUAGCCCUGAGUGCACACCAGUUGGAAUUCUGCUGUUUCGACCACCUUAAGAACUUUUUCUGCUAGGAGUCCCUUAAGAAACGUUUCUCAAAACUUAAUAAAGAACUUACUGGUAAAAUUGCAGCUUCAUUAGGUCUCUUGUUUUGAAGUUAUGUUCAGUUUACUUUGACUCGGGUCUGAAAAAUUCUAGCAUGUACACUUAAUGGGAAUCUGAGGUUAUCACCUUGUUAGGUCCUGUUCUAGCCCUACCUUUGAAUACCAAACUUGUUACGCACUAUCUAAAGAACAUGCUGGUAAAAUUUGAGAAAUUUUGGAUGAAUAAUUGCUGAGUUAUGAGCUUUUCUCUAACUGCUAGAAAUCUGUUUUGAUUUCCAAGUGUUAACUCCGUUUCUCACUUGUCCUUUGGUUACAGUGGCUCAGCCUGUGCACGUUGCAGUCGGUACGGAUGGCACCACCUACUCACGGUGCCUUCACUACGAGGGUUUCCUAGCCGUACUGUGGGACACCCUGCGCUCUUUUGGGUACCCGUCACCGCCAGUUUACGCGGGACGUGCAUACCAGGACCGCGGGAUUCCGCGGAGUCGCGUGCACGUGCGGGUGCCCCCGCCUCCGGGUCAGCCACAGUGUCCGCUUUUGGAGGUGGUGGCCGAGGGAUAGACACUACAGGACACCUGGGAGUUCGCAGCCUUGCAGACCCUGACACAGUUUUGCCGGGCACACCCUCUUGAGAUCGUGCUGGACCCGAUUGGGUUGUGCUCUGCUCGGGAUACGAGGGACCCGGAUUGGUUGGAUCGUAUGGAGCAUAUGGACUUACUCAGGGUUAUGGAUCCACAACGCACGAUUUUUGUUUCAGCUCGUUGCCUGAACGUGUUCUUCCGGAUGGUUGAGAUGCAGAGCCGAGCGAUGGCUACGGUGAUCGGGAUGGCAGUGGCCAACCAGGUCGCUUUAUCUGCCGUGCAGAGUGGCAUGGUGGACCAGUCGCUUGAGCUAGUACAGAAGGAUGUCCAGAUUGCUGAGAUGCAGGACAAGAUCACUCGUUUGGAGGAGGAGAUUGUGGAUAUGGAGCAUGAUAUGGAGAUCUUGGCUGACCAGUUCUAUGAUGUGAACAUGGAGCCGGCGAACGUCAAUGAGCACCUGCAGGAGCAUCACGAUGAGCUUAAUGCCAUUCACACCUUAGAGAUGCAGCAGGAUGAGCCGAUGGCCCAGGAGGAGGAGCCUGAGGAGAUCGAGGGCUUUUCGAGCAUGGACUAUGAGGAGGCCUCUCCGCAGCCUCCAGUUGGCGAUGCUCACUCUCCUGCCCUUAGCUUUGCCUCCGUGGGCAACCUCGACGACUUCUAGUUGUGUUGACUUGUUGUUGAGGGGUUCUCUUUUGUUUUUACUCCUCGGCGACCUAUAUUUUGGCUAGUGAUAUAAUAGGUUAGCUUGAGUUGAGUAUUUGGGAGUUGAGAAACUGAUUCUAUGUUGGAUUGCCGUUGCUAUCUUUAGUGUAAUGUCUGAAAUUUAUGGCAGAACUGCAGUGACUGUUUCUCCUCAGUUUUACCCCUGUCUCCACUCGUUUUUGAGCCAAAGUUUGAAUACCAAAGUUGUGCAAAAACUUCUGUUCUAACUAUUCGUAAAUUUUCAGCUCCUUCGGAUCUGUCAAACGCCCGCUAGAGCCAAAACCCCACUGUUCAGCUUGCUGAAAAAUCAGCCGGACAGCAACUUGCUAGAACGUCUAAACGACCUCUUUUCCUUCCUUUUCGGUCGACAAGCGUAACAUGAAAGUGGUUGUGUACGAUAUAUUCUAACCCUCACUUAAGGAUGAGAACCUUGUGCACUUCGAAGAAGAGAUAUGCACCUACUCAAUAAAAGUUUUGAUUGUUGCUUUUGCACCAUCGGCAAGACUAGCGUUUAUCAUUUCCGCACAUAAUGUUUCCUUAUGGUUAAACAAGAUUUUGGGGCUAUGUGACUAAUGGAAAGGUGAAUCUUGCAGAUGGCACAUCGCAUAUGCUCCGGCUCCAUUCCUAGUGGCAGCGAGGUGCCUCCCCCACCUCCGCCUCCAACCACCCUCGAGGCAAUCUUGGCGGCUCAAACCGAGCUGCUGAGGCACAUCGCUCAGGGACAGCAGCAGCAGCAGCCCUAGGGAGGAAGAGCCCAUCAGCAGCCUCAUGUUGCUCGCUACGAGGACUUUCUGGGGACCCAGCCUCCUCUGUUCCACAAGACGGAGGACCCGCUUGACGCCGAUGCCUGGAUUCGUGCCAUCGAGUCCAAGUUCUCCCUUCUCACCGCCCAUUGCCCGGAGGAGAACAAGGUUCGGUUCGCCGCGCAACAGUUGCAUGGUUCUGCUCUCCUGUGGUGGGAUCACUACCACGCCAUGCAGCCGGCCGACCACGUCGUCGGCUGGGAGGAAUUCAAGACAGCGUUCAAGGGCCAUCACAUCCCUGAGGGUCUUCUGGAGCGCAAGCUCAAUGAGUUCCUGGCUCUCACCCAGGGAGGCCGCGACGUCCUGCACUAUGCGCAGGCUUUCAAUGACCUGUGUCGCUAUGCAGGCUAUCAUGCAGACUCUGAUGAGAAGUAGAGGGACCGCUUCCACAGAGGCUUGAGCCUGGAGCUCAAGGAAAGCCUGAAUCCCAUCAAGGUGGAUUCCUACAAUGAACUGGUGAACCUGGCAAUUUCCCAGGAAGAUUGCAUGAGGGCUCUCAAGGCUGACCUGAAGCGAAAGGCUCCAAUGCCGGCACCCGGCCCACCGGCCCAGAAAUACAAAGUGGUUCCCCCACAGGCGUCUCACAGGCCCGCACAACCUAGGAGAUGGGUUGCUCGACCUCCACCGCAGGCAGCACCUCAUUUCCCUGGAUUCCAGCCGCAAGGGCCCCGACCUACUCUUCCUAUGCCGCCAUGCCUAGUCACUGGAAACCGCUGUUUCACCUGCGGGAACCCAAGACACUUUGCCAAGAACUGCCCCCGCAACAAGAAUCAACGACCCGGUCAGAGCAAUGCACUGAGCAACAAGGGGAAGAAGCCGAGGGUUCAGGUCCGACAAGGCAGGCUGAACUACACCACCCUUGCUGAACUUCCAGAGGGUGCACCAGUGAUGACGGGUACCUUUUCUAUCUAUAACCAACCCGUCCUUAUUCUGUUUGAUUCGGGAGCAUCUCAUAGUUUCAUUGGGACUAGAACCAGUGCUAAGUGUGGGUUAGAUUUCUGUCACACAAAAGGUGCUUAUAUAAUCUCUACCCUGGGUAGGAAAGUAACUUCACACCAAGUGAGCCGCAAGGUGCCUAUCCAGUUGGGGAGAACCCUUUUUAAGGAAAACCUCCUUAUCCUUGGGAUAGAAGGAAUAGAUAUUAUCUUGGGUAUGGAUUGGAUGACUCGACAUCGAGUGGCACUAGACAUCCCUGCCAGAGCCGUCCAUAUAAACUCACCCAUUUAUGGUAGCUCAAUCAUACACUUACCCCCCCGAGAGUGCCAAACUUUUUGUGCCUAUCCCUUGACUGAAGCCCGUUUAGAAGACAUCCCAGUGGUGUGCGAGUAUCCCGAUGUGUUUCUAGAUGAUUUGCUGGGUAUGCUGCCUAAUAGAGAUAUCGAGUUUGCUAUUGAGUUGCAACCAGGUACUGCCCCAAUUUCAAAGAGACCGUACCGGAUGCCACCAGCCGAGCUGGCAGAAAUGAAAGCUCAGUUUCACGAUCUGUUGGACAAAGGUUUUAUUCAUCCAAGUACAUCACCUUGGGGUGUCCCCGCCUUGUUUGUGAAAAAGAAGGACGACAGUCUGCGUAUGUGUCUGGACUACUGCCCUCUCAAUGCGGUGACGAUAGAGAACAAGUACCCACUACCCCGCAUUGAUGUUCUGUUCGAUCAGUUAGCUGGAGCUAGAGUGUUUUCCAAAAUUGACCUCCAUUCUGGCUACCAUCAAAUCAAGAUCCACCCGUGCGACAUUCCUAAGACUGCUUUCUCUACACGGUAUGGACUCUAUGAGUACUUAGUCAUGUCAUUUGGGCUUACUAAUGCACCAGCUUAUUUCAUGUACCUCAUGAAUUCGGUGUUUAUGCUCGAACUCGACAAAUUCAUCGUGGUUUUCAUUGACGAUAUCUUGGUGUACUCAAAGGAUGAGGAAGAACAUGCAGAGCACCUACAUACUGUACUCCAACGCUUAAGAGAUCACCAACAAUAUGCCAAAUUCUCUAAGUGUGACUUCUGGCUGGACAGUGUUAAAUUCUUGGGGCACACCAUAUCCAGAGACGGUAUAGCAGUAGACCCAAGCAAAGUGCAAGAAGUAAUGGACUGGAAGUCGCCCACUUCAGUUCAUCGGAUUCGAAGUUUUCUCGGGUUAGCAGGUUACUACCGUCGCUUCAUUCCUGACUUCUCAAAAAUAGCUAAGCCAAUGACGAAACUGCUAAGGAAGGGAGUUAAGUUCAUGUGGAGUGACAAAUGUGAAGAAGCCUUCCACACCCUGAGACAAUUACUGACCUCUGCGCCGGUUUUAGCUCAGCCCAACACCACUAGGCUGUUUGACGUAUAUUGCGAUGCCUCUAGCACUAGACUGGGUUGUGUUCUUAUGCAAGACAGCCGAGUCAUUGCCUAUGCCUCACGAGCGCUACGGCCACAUGAGUUGAACUACCCUACCCAUGAUCUCGAGUUAGCAGCAAUCGUUCAUGCUCUGAAAUUAUGGAGGCAUUAUCUUAUGGGAACUCGAUGCAACAUCUAUACGGAUCACAAGAGUCUUAUGUACAUCUUCACUCAAGCAGACCUCAACAUGCGCAAGAGAAGAUGGUUAGAAUUAAUCAAAGAUUAUGACCUAGAAGUGCACUAUCACCCAUGCAAAGCCAAUGUAGUUGCCGAUGCUCUCAGCCGCAAGAUCCAUUGUAACUGCUUAUCGGCAAUUAAUUAUGCCGAGACCCUCUGUCAUGAAAUGGCUAAACUCAACUUGGAAAUUGUUCCCCAUGGCACCUUAAGUCAUAUUUCUUUAGAGCCUACCCUGCUUGACCAAAUAAUUUUAGCACAACUAGAGGAUGAAGAGAUAAACCUUAUCAAGGAGAAACUCGCACAGGAGGAUGAGGGAUAUAAGCAUUUCUGAUAGGAUUGGAGAGGAGUGGUACAUUAUGAAGCUCGACUCGUAGUUCCAAAUGAUCCCGAUCUUAGGAAACAAAUUCUGGACGAAGCACACCUUUCCAAGUUCUCGAUUCACCCUGGUAGUACCAAGAUGUACCACAACCUCUGACAAAAUUUCUGGUGGAGUGGAAUGAAACCCGACAUUGCACGAUAUGUUUCAGAGUGUGAUACCUGUCAGCGAGUCAAAGCAAGCCACUUAAGGGUAGCUGGCCCCUUGCGGCCACUGCCUAUUCCCUCGUGGAAGUGGGAGGACAUAAGCAUUAUAGUCAGACUACCCAAUACCUCCCGCAAACAUGAUUCGAUAUGGGUUAUAGUAGACCGACUUACCAAAACAGCGCAUUUUCUUCCAGUACACACCACCCGCGCCAUACAGAAAUAUGCAGAACUGUACCUUGACCGGAUUGUUUCCUUGCAUGGUGUACCUAAGACGAUCAUCUCUGAUCGAGGUAGUCAGUUUGUAGCACGCUUUUGGGAGCAGUUGCAGUUUUCACUUGACACUAAAUUUAUUCGUAGUUCCACAUAUCAUCCUUAAACCGAUGGACAAACUGAAAGGGUUAACCAGAUUUUGGAAGAUAUGCUACGCGCCUGUGCCAUUCAUUAUGACAAGAACUGGGAUAAGUGUUUGCCAUUAGCGGAAUUCUCAUACAACAAUAGUUACCAAGCUAGCCUGAAAAUGGCGCCUUUUGAAGCCUUGUAUGGACGUAGAUGCCGAACCCCGCUAAGCUGGUCGCAACAGUGUAUGGACCUGACCUGGUCAUGGAGGCCGAAGAAAAAGUAAGAGUUAUUCGUGAAAAUCUCAAGGCCGCCCAGUCUCGACAAAAGAGCUAUUCCGAUCAAAGAAGAAGACCUAUCCAAUUUGAGGUUGGGGAUUUUGUAUACCUGCGGGUUUCACCGACCAAAGGCGUACAACGUUUUGGAGUAAAAGGAAAGUUGGCUCCGCGCUAUAUUGGUCCCUAUGAGAUUGUAGAAGUUUGUGGACCCGUAGCGUAUCGAGUUAAACUUCCAGAGAAGAUUGCAGCGAUACACGAUGUUUUCCAUGUCUCACAACUCAAGAAGUGCAUUCGGGUUCCAACUGAAAUCAUCGCCUCGGAAGAAUUGGAGAUUGAACCCGAUUUAACAUACAAGGAGUAUCCUGUUAAGAUCCUUGACCGGAAGGAAAGACAUACUCGUAGGCAAAUGGUAAAAAUGUACAAAAUUUGGUGGAGUAACCAUACGGAAGAUGAAGCGACCUGGGAGACGGAAGAGUAUCUCAACACUAACUUCCGCGGUUUUCUUUUCGACCAGGAAGGUACGUUGCACCGGCCACACUAGUUCCUUUCUGCACUUGAAUCUCGGGGCGAGAUUCCUUUAAGGGGGGUAGGCUGUAACAACUCUACCUAAAUUAAGUGCUUUUAAAUAUAAACCAGUGGCUAAUCACUAAGUUAAAGAAGUAAAAUGACCAUUUUAACCCUAAGAAGCUCUUUUUGGAGUUUGAAAUAAAACUUGGAAUUUUAUAUGCAAACUUAAAAUUUUGCCCAAAUAAGAGUUGUAAAACUUUCAAUUUCAAACAACUUUUGUUAAAGGAACUUUGACUAAUUCGGAGUGGGAGGAAGUCAAAAACAGCAAUCAAAACCGGAGUACUAAAGAACCCUAUAAACCUCCUAAGUCCUGGUUUUCAAAUUUUCCCUCCAACUUUGCAAGCAUUUAUCUCACGAUUUUGUAUCUAAACUCAAGUCAGGCUCUUAAUAAAAGUUGUAGUCCCUCAAGUGUGUUCCAACUUUGUUACACUAACCCAGGUCCAAAUCGGGCCAGAACCUGUUCACAAUCUUGGUCAAAGUGAGGUAAAACAGUCAACUCAUCCCCUGAGCCCCACAACGCUAAGUCUGAAAAACUGCUCAGAGUGCACCUCUUGGCGAGGGCGUUCCUCCAAAUUUUUGAACUAAACUCAAGAAAUAACCUGAAUAAAAGUUUAAGUCCUCAGUUUGGAGAGCAACUCCUUCAAUAACACUUCAGUCUAAUUCAACUUGGAAGCUGCCCUAAAUUCGACUCAAACAUAGCUAAGUUCCUGAAAUUCCACCUCUCCGGCCAAAAUUGGCUAAGUCUGGAUUUCCAGAUUUUUAGCAAACUUUGGCACGAGAUAUCUUCAAAUCCUUUCACAAUCUAAACCAGCACCUUAAACCAAGUUUGAACUACGUCCAGAGUUGAACAAGUUUGUUUAAAGGAGUUUUGGAAGAUGUGUUGCAAAAUCUUAAGUUAGGAUCUCCCAAAGCCGGUCGGGCUUGCUGCCCGAAGGGGGCCUCGACGCCCGCGCGCCAGAGCACGUUCGCCCGCGCGCCACGCGUCGCGUGGCCGCCGGCCACCGGCAGUUCGCCGGCGCCCUAUCACCGGCAAGACAACGAUAGGGCAAGGGCCACGGCGCCCAACCCGCGCUUGCGACAGGACGGUGCGAAUGCCGGGCUAGCGAACCGCCGGCCGCGCGGGUGUCCUUUUCCCCCUGCCACGGCUCUGCUCCGCCAACCGUGCUCCGCCCGUCCGCGGGAGAAGCCGCCACGCCGAUGACAUCCCGCGCCUCCGCCCGCUCGCCCAACCCCAAUGGUAGCCCUCCGCUUCGCCCGCCCGACAGACCGGAAGCCUCAGACACGCAUCGCCCAAGGCCAAUCCCCGCCGGAGACCACUCGGAGCUCCGACUCCUCUGCCCAAUGGCGCCGCUGGCCAAUGGCCGCCUCGCCCGCGCACCCGCCGCACCUGGCCUUAUCCUUCCUCCACCAGAGCCCCGCCUCGACCCUCCGCUCCACCGCUGCCCUAUAAAAAGGUCCCUCUCACCGGCAACGCCACCCUUUGCCACCACCCACAAUCGCGCCACCGCUUCCUCCUCUGCGCCGCCACUAAUCUUCCGUGGAGCUCACCCCUCCGCGCCACCCCGCACUCCGGCGACUUCACCGCUUGCUUUGCCAACCCACCGCGCACGUCUCCGAGCAGCUCGUGGCCUCCCCGACGCCGCCGAUGCGCCGGAACGUCGCCUGCACCGCCGCCAGCCAAGCUCUGUUGCCGCCGCCGCGUUCCGAUCCCCGUCGGCCAUCUCCGUCGCCCCAACCCCGCCAAACCGAGCUCAGGUGAGCCCCCGCACCUCUCCGGCCACUUGUUGCCCCAUCCUCGCCGGCGAACCGCCGGGGAUUUCCUCACCGCCGCCGCGCGCGCCCCGGGGACCACAUUGCAUCGUCCCCAUUCUUUCCAGGGGCUUGAGCGCAAAACUCAAGGACCCCUGUGUAGUUAAACCUUAAACCCAGGGGCUUGCUUGCAAGUUUGCCACGGCUUUUCUUUUAAAUAAUAGGCAGAAAUAUGGUUGAACUUUGUAAAUGCCCAGUAAAUCGUAGAAAAAUCAUAAAAAUGCCAAACCACUUUUGCUAGGAUCCUUGCUCUGUCUAGUUCCUAAGAAAAAUAAGUUUGCUCAUGUUAAUGUUGUAAAUAAUAUCCUAUGCUUUUAAUCAUGUUGUAGGCCUUUUAAAUCCUAAUAAAUAGAAAAGUGGGAAAAAUGUGGAACCAACUCUGUGAUGCUUGUUUCUAUGUGUAGAAGCUCAGAAAAAUGGUUCGGGCUCUGGUCUAGCAUUUUAAGUCACUGUUUCGACUUUAAAUUGGGAAUCUAAAUAUAAAUCUUCCUUUUUGCAUAAGUUUUGAUCUAGAGCUCAGAAAAAUGUGAAACUAGUUGGGUUAAUUUUGUUUUGCUGUGAAGUUUGCUGGAAAAAUAUAAAUUGUUGUGCAAAUCAGAAAGAAAAACACCUUCCUUGCUAAGCAUGUUUAAUUAAGAAAAGAAAAGGAGUAAAUAGUAACCUUCUCCAAAAAUUAUGAAAAAUUCACCAAAGCUCCUGUAACAUACCCUUAACACACUGCUUAAGUUUCACCCUCUGUUGCACAGUAACUUUGAAGAUGGAAAAAGUUAAGCUCAGUUUACCUUUAAUAAUAAAAUGCAUGUAACUUCUUUUUAAGUCAUCCUUUGGCCCCCAAACUUUUACAGUAACCUAGUGAUGGCUUAAGUGAGGUGCUGUAAUUUUAUCAAUGCCUUUAACUACUAUUUGGAUAUGAAGUCAUUUUGGUUAAUUAAUCAACCUAAAGGAAUAAAAGGAGAGCGCAAAUUCUAAUACGAUAAAUAAGUGGACACUGAAAGAGGUACAUCAAAACAUUCAGAAGUAAGUAAUUAUUCCAAUGCACCCAAACCACCCAACACGACCUUUCACACUCUUUAUGCAACUCUAAAUGCAAGAAAGCUAUAUAUGUACACAAUCGCCAUUCAACGCGAACUCAAGUUUAAAACGACCACUUUCGUUUGAAGUUAAAAGAAAGUAAACCUCUCCAAAGUGUUUGUGGCUGUUGUGACUCUUGUCUUAAGCCAUGCCUUGUGUCGUUGAAUAAACGCGCGAGUCCAACUAAAUUUUUGCAUGUGCAUGUCGUAUAGAAGCAAAUCUCGCCGACGGAACCUACGAGCUCCACCCGGCACCAGAGAAAGACCCCGCUGCGGAGCUUCACCACUUGGAAGGCGAGCCCAAACCGGAGCAAGAUCCUAAGGACCCGCUAACUUUUCCUGAAGGCAAGCCCCGGAGCAUAAAUUCCUAUAUUUGAAUACUUGCAAUAUUAUUGAACACUUUGAUUGCGCAUUUACGUUUAUAGGAGUUGUAAUGAAACCUUAGAUGCAUGUACUAGUUGCUAAAGUCGAGUAGUUGCAAUGCUUAAUAGGUUCCGGUAAAAGUCGAGUGAUUUCCUAUCACUCGCGAGUUAUAAGAGUUGAAUGUUUACUUAUGUUGCAACUAUAAGGACGAUGGACAGGGUCGGGCUUAUGUUCGAUACUUGGUGAUUUUCCCCGUCUGUCUAAAGGAAAUUUAUCUAAGGUCGAAACGUGUCGGCGUUCGUGAUCAAGUGUUUGAAAGUACUAAUCUCAUACCUAGUAUGGGAUGGGGAAGCCUAGUACCUGAUUGAACUGGGGCGUGGCAUACUCCCCCGGCUGUCCUUGGAACACCGUUCCCAUGGUGCAUCAUGUGGGUGCAAGUGCGGUUAUAGUACGGCAGAGGCCGGGAUUAUGGAGCAUUGCAUGCCAAUGGCAAUUGGCCCUGACACGUGCCUAAGGGAUUGAUGGGGACGGCUGACAAAUGAAGCGACCCUUCGUGGUGCGCAGAUGUCGUGAGAUUAGGUUCGCCAUGCAUGGUUAAUAAAUUCAAAUCGAUUCGGCUGCCUCUCACAGUUUGGGACUACUUGAUCGCUAUUCUGCACUAAGUAACAAUGAAACAUGAUUAUGAGAUUAAGUUGAUGCUUGUUAUUUAACUGCUUGGAAAUCAUGCUUGUUUAGCAUAAGUGGCUAAUCUAGAAUGGUUAAAGAACGUAGAACUUGAGCUAAAAUAUUGAAAGUAAGGACCGAUUGUAGACGCUUGUGGCAAAGAAAUCGCAGAGCCAGGAAGCCUUGCAUGUCUAGGUCUUGGUAAAGCUUUUCACUCGACGGGUCAGUCUUGUUGAGUAUUAGUUGCUCAGCCUUGUUGUGGCUUAAUCUUUUCCGGUGAUGUCAAUAGUUUGGUUGCGGGCACCACUUGGCCUACCCAGCUCCCUCCGGGCUGGACAGUCGAGUGGGAUCCCUCCUCGGACGGCGAGGGAAGGGAUUUUUGAUGUCAUGAUUGGCUCCGUCGUGAUGUCAUGUAUCGACGUUUAGCUUCCGCUUUUUUUAUCUGACUUUUCGAACCUUGCAACUUGUUUGAAUUUUCAGAAACUCUGAUGUAAUAAUUUGUGAAACUAAGUAAUGUGAUGGAAUGUUGUAAUCUCUGUGCUACUCACCUUCGUGUGAGCGAUACUUCUCGAUCCUAUUUAGGUGGUUCAUCGGAUGAAAUCCGACGGUCGACCAGGUUGACUUGCUUAAAGUGCAUGAUCGUGUGUCAGGCGACUUCAAUGCAUUUUAGUCAGGUUAAUUUGGGCGGUUCCGCCACAGCAAGCCCCCGAGGACGAGGACCGGCAAAGCCAUGAACGCACGCUGACCAGAGUUAGGCGUCCAGCCCCCGAGCAUGAGCGCAAGGACUGGUGGAAGCACGUCGAGUUGCCUCCCGCCCUAAGCCGAGGCAGAGAGGUUGGCUGGGCGACGGGCGACACGUGGAGUCAUCUACGGUACCUAGCCGCCGAGCCUGGGAGCAGGACGAGUUGCAAAAGCAUGCCAAGUUGCCUCUUGCCCUGAGCUAGCAAGGUCGACCGGGUGACGGGAGGCACGCCAAGUCAUCUGCGGUGCCCAGCCCCCGAGCCUUGGAGCCGGCCGAGCCACAGAAGCACGCCAAGCCGCCUCCCGCCCCGAGCUAGAGAGGUCAGUCGGGCAAUGGGAGGCACGCCGAGUCGUCUGCGGUGCCCAGGCCCCGAGCCUAGGAGCCGGACGAGCCACAAAAGCAUGCCAAGUCGCUUCCUGUCCUGAGCUAGAGAGCUCGGCCGGGUGACGGGAGGCACACCGAGUAGUUUUUUGAGCUGUAAAAGGACAAUACAAUCAUUAUGUAGCAUAAUGUAGAUUAUUUAAUCAUUGAACAACUCGGAAGUUUAAUACGCUGUAGAAGUAAACUCUUGCUAAUCCUGCUCUUGUAGGCCAAGUAAAUUCCCCAGGUAGUUAGCUUAUUACGUUCAAGCACCUAGCCCUACUAACCACUGCUCAUGGAGAGGAUAGUUUAUCUCAGGCUAUAGCGCUGGGGCUGACCUGAUGCUCGCAUAUAGGAGACGCGCAGGAUGAGUCAAGGUUUCACGGAUUAAGGCGUGUGCUACCCGAGUACUUUAGCAACCGUUAACAGGGACGGAUAAGCCGCAAAGCAACUGGAGCUAUGCAAAAAAGCACCAGCAUGAGCUGGGCACCCAUGGGGUGUAGCCCCCGGCCGCCCGUGUAGUGGGUGGACCAAGCUGUAUAAGUAGGCACGGUGCGACCAAGGUGGUCGGCGAAAGUCACGAGGACAUAGGAGAGCUGAGGUGGUCGACAAAAGUCACAGGAACAUGGAGGAGCCGAGGUUUAUGUAGGUAUACGGAAGUCGUAAAAUAUUUAAUUAUAAAUAAGACUUAUCCUUAUUUGUGGUCAAGUCAAAAAACCCGCGUGUCAUCUUCGCGUUUAGGCUUAGAAGCCCCUGAGCGUGGUCGUCGGAUAGUUGUUGGUGAAGCAAACUAGUUGGGCAUGCCCAACUAAUUCAUGUCGAGGCCGAGUUGUUGGAGUUGUUAGCGGCACGUUUGUGGUAUGCUACUGCCGAGUCGAUGCGGCCAUCGGGUCGUGGCCGGCUGGCCGCCACGCUCACAGUACAACAUGCCUAGGUUGUGCUGCCAAACCAAGGGUGCAUGUAAAUCUUUCCGAAGCUUGUAAGGAAGCCCUCACAUAUUAAGGAACUCUAUACCUAAUACCAUCAUGGUUGUUUUGCAAAAAAGUCUCUCAACUUUUUUGUAAUCAACCCGCAGUCUUUGGAAUGUCUUGAAGAUUGUGCAAAAAGAUCCCCAAACUUUACUGCAAUUGGCCAUCGAAGCUCCCACAGCGUGCACCUAUGCCACAUGCGGUGCGGACGGGUGUGCCGGCUGCGACUGCAAGCUCCUCGCUGCGGCAGGGACCAGGUCGAGCAGCGACAGCAAUGACGAAGGGGAGUAGUCUGCGUCUGCGUGCCAUGCCACCGUCACCGGGCAAGCUGUGGUAGCGGCGGAGUGGGAGAGUGAGUCCAUUGGCGUGUGGAGGGUGCCGUGGGGCAGGUGGGUGGCGGAGAUCUGCAACCCACACCUCGCUGUGUGCAAGUGGCUCAGCACCUUCGACACCACUGAGGACGCCGCGCGUGCCUACAACGUCGCCACCGUCGAGUUCCGAGGCUGCUGUGCCAAGCUCAACUUCCCCGACGAUGCGGCUCUCGCACCUGCACCUUCCUAGGUGCUGACCUCGACAUACCAACACCACCACCACCUGCCGCAGCCGCUGCUCGAGAGCCUGCACGAGACCUGCGGGUCGAACGCAUCCUCAUCAGUGGACGUGGCUCUUGUGGUAGCGGCACCGACUGGGCAGCACGACACGAGGCCGGUGCCGAAGGAGCAGGACAUAUGGGACACGCUAAACGAGUUCAUGAUGAUGGAUGACGGUAGCUUCUGGUCGCCCAUGCCAUGAUCGUCAUAUUCUCCUCUUGUCUUCACUUUCGUUGCUUAGCAGAUAAUGGUGGUCAGCUGCCCUCUAGUCUGUCGUCAAUCGCCAGCCAUCCAUUGCUUUUAUAUGGUUUUACACUAGCUUUUGGGCUUUGAUCACACCUCCACACCCAUACGAAACGACUAGCUAGAGCGAUGUUGAUCUACUGCCUACCGCGCGCUAGGGCGAGCAGCUACUCACUCGGGCUGCAUGCCCUACCCACCACCUGGACCUAAGAGGUGAAGGAGAGAGGAGGAAGGGGGAAGGAAACAAGGAGCCGAGUGCCUCUUUGUAGUCAACCAAGUAGAGCCAUAUGCUAGUGAAGGCAUGGCGCCAGCGAGGGGGGCGCAGCGGCAGUCGGCAGGCAACGCAAACAGGGGCGGAGGUCGAGACCUCACACCCCCCUCUCAAUGACGUCCAUCCCCUUCAGAUCCGGAACUAAAGCCUCCACACCUAGCAAUUGGGGGCUCGAUUUUGCACUUGAUUGGAACGAUUUGGAGUGGAUUAUAGAAGGGAGGUGGAUGGAAAUGAGAAGAAGAGGAAAACGCACUCCUGCUCAUGGUGGCCAGAGGCACUGUGGCCUAGCGCUCAAAGCGGGAAUGAGGCUAGGCACGGGAAGGACGAGCGUUUGCCUGGGCGACGACGAGGAUGGCAAGAUGCGCAGCGCUUAGACGACGGUGAAGAUGGGGCAAGAUGUGGGUGGCACCGAUGGACGAAGAGGCAUCGACUGGUUAGAUGAUAAUGAGUACGGGGAAAAUUGAAUGAAUUUAUAGAGCGGUGGUUGAGCGGUGAUUUUUUUUGUUUCCAUGUGUGGGUCCCACGUAAUAAACAGAUGGCAUCAAACCACCCACAAAUAUCUUCUACUACUGUACUCGGACACCGCACCAACAUAUGGUGAAGUGAAGCUAACAUAUUAGAAACAAGCGAAUAAUAAUGUGAGAGUAAGUAAAGACCUGUAGUAACGUACGGGUAUUUCUGCUAGUAAGAAAAAAAAUUGUUAGUAAGCACCGAGCAACGUAGGAGAUCUACUGGAUGGAAUAGAUUAAAUAAUAAAGGGAAGGGAGAAUUGUUCUCUUUUUUUUCCGUGGCAGAUCUGACGUGUGUGCAUGCAACAAGUUGAGGUCGACGUGUCGUGCUAAAUCAACCAGAUCGUACCGGGGCUGGAUCAGGCGAGCUUGGUUGUGGCCGGGAUGAGGCCAAUAAGGGCGCCGCCCUUGACCUUGGCCUCCUAUUCCUCGCGGAUCUUCUGCAUCUGGAGCAUCCGCUCCAUGAUGAGCUUGUACUGGCACUUCUCGCAGGCGUGGCGCUCGGGCUCGCACUUCCAGCGGAGGUAGAACUGGGAGGUGCACGCACUGGUCAUGGUAGGCGAGUGGAACCCGAGCCUCCGCCAUCUCCACCUGCGUGACGAUCUGGAGCUUCGAGGAGCCGAACUGCACGCCGCCCGCCGCCUCCAUCUGUCACUUUGUUCCCCUCUCUCUCACUGGCGAGGUCGUUCCGUCGAUAUAUGGGCGCUGCGGGUUUGGUGCGGCGUGGGUGGGUAGGGUGCAGCAAGGAUGUGAGGAACCCUCUCGGAUAGAGAGAUUGCUGACCUACUGGGUAAGCGGUGUGAUGAUCCUUGGAUAGAGAACUUGCUCCACCAGAGUAAAUCUGACAGAUGCCGAGCUGGCGGCGGGCACCAAGUCGAAGUCCACUGACAUGCUCCUGAAGCGAAGCUGGAUCGGGUUGGUGAGAAAGUCCUUCAUGCUCUCAGGGAAAGUAAUGCCGGGGCGGGAUGCAAUCAAGCUCGCUAGGGAGGAUCUCACAAUCAUCCCUACCUGGCGCGCCAACUAUUGGAUUUAUAAGCCCGAUAGUCCACCAGGGGGUUACCCAAGUUGUUGAUUUGUAGGUGAGGGCGAUUGCGAAACCAAGAACUCUAAGGUGAUCGUGAAAACACGAAGGGACACGAAGGUUUUAGAUAGGUUGGAACCUCCGAAGAGUAAUACCCUACGUCCUGUAUGCUGGUUUGUAUUGCUUGAGAUUGAUAUGAUUGUUGGGAUACCCUUGGGGGUGCCCUUGGCCGCUUUAUAUAGGCUGACGAUCAAGAGUUACAAGUCAGUUUGAAUCUAAUCUACUCGAUAGUUACAUGGAAAGUAAUCUGAGUAGGACUAUAAUACGCGUUCCAUGAUAUUCGGCAUGUUUGAAUUGUCUUGUUGCUUUGACGUGCACUCCAAGUAACUUCAUGUCCUCAGCCCGUACGCCUUGGUCGAGUGGGCCCUACUUGUCAGGUAUGACCAGUAUCCUGAGGUACCCAUAUCUCUCACCUUGGUGCUCCGGCGAUUAGGGUCGGCAACGAGGAUGGGGAUUGGAAGAGGAGAUCGAGGGGACUUUAUGGAGAUGCUUACCGGCGGCGAGGUGGACGGAUUCCGGCUAGAAUUUGGCUGGCGGUGGAAGAACACGGCAACUGGCUCAGGUCUUCGCGAGUGAUGGUACUCCGGCGGUGGAGCGGCGACGAAGAAUGGUGGCAGAGCUGCUCCUCGAUGUCACGGAGCUCCCUAAGGCUCUAGCUUUCUUCGAUAGUCGACGGGCAUAGUGAAUCGGCCAGAGAAGGCUAGCAGCAGCUCCUAGCUCCGGCGGAUGUGGGGGAUGGCGGCGCUCGUGCAAGUAGGGAAGAGCGGCGGUGUGAGGCAGGGCAGUAGCAGGGGCACUGUCUCGACUUUUAUAGGUGUGUGGGUCCGCGCCUGCCUUGGCACGCACGCCGAGGUUCGGCGGUGGCGACGCCCAAGUGCAGCUACGCUUGGCCUUGACCCGCUAGUGGCCGAUGGGCCUAGCGAGCCUAGCCGAGCCAUCAGCUGGGCCGAGUCGGUGCAGGUUGGCUGGAGAGGGUCGGGCUACAAAGACUUGGCCCGAUCGAUUAGGAUUUUGCUUUUUUAGAAAUGAUUUCUCAUGAAAGAAAAAUCUAGAAAAAUUCUAGAUAAUUAAUUUAAAUAACGAAAAAAACCCUAAAAAUCCAAAAUUCCAGGAAAAAUCCUAGAGAUAGUUUGGGACAUGAGGAGUCCAAAUAAAAUACUUGGAGCUCAUGAAAAGGAUUCUAGAACCUUCCAAAAAUUGGAUUUAGCUAUAGAAAAAAUGAGAAUAAAUCUCAAAAAAUCUGGAAAUUCUCAUAAGAACCUAAUCGGCAUCUAAACGCAUUCCAAAAUAUUUGCACUUAUGAAAUACCAAGAUGCAUCGGUAUGAAUGCAACACAUACGGAGAACCAUUAUAUUUAAUUCAGAAAAACACUCAAUUAUUUCCCUAUACUAAAUUUCCUGUCAAGAAAAUAAAUGUUGGAAAAAUUUUAAAAUUAUGAGAAAAACAUUGUUUAAUUAUUAUUUUUAAUCUGAAAGUUCAAAAAUUUUAAGGUGUGGCAGAUACCCUCAGGUUUACAGAAUUUGACAUCCAUGUGCAAAUUGGAUGUAUCCUUCAAUGAUCUGCAAGGUGAAGUGCCAAUAGGGCUUUUUUUUUGCAAAUGCAUCUUACAUGUCGGUUUAUGGAAAUGAUCAGCUUUGUGGUGGAAUACGUCAACUUCAUUUAGCUCCAUUCUCCAUGUCCAGUGCAAAAAAGAAAAAAAAGGAAAUUUGUCGAAAACCCUUGUGAUCACCCUAACAUCAAUCAGUGCAGUUGUAUUCUCAGUUUCAGUACUUGCUGUAAUUGUGUUGAUCUGUAAGAAGCUUAGGAAAAGGCAUGAAAGUCAACUCAUAUCCACAACUGAGGAACGGUAUGAAAGAGUUUCUUAUCAUGCUUUGUCAAAUGGGACCAAUGGAUUUUCAGAGGACAAUUUACUUGGACAAGGAAGCUAUGGCAUGGUUUAUAAAUGUACUUUACAUGACCAGGGUACUACUGUAGCUGUAAAGGUGUUUAACAUAGAACAAUCUGGGACUUUUAGAAGUUUUGUCGCUGAAUGCGAGGCACUCAGAAGGGUGCAUCACCGUUGUCUCGUAAAGAUCAUCACUUGUUGCUCAAGCAUCAAUCACCGGGGUCAAGAGUUCAAGGCACUAGUUUUUGAGCUCAUGCCAAAAGGUAGCCUAAAUGGUUGGCUUCACGCAGAGUCUGACACACUUACCCCGACAGAUACUCUGAGCCUUGAACAAAGGCUACACAUUGCUGUCGAUAUCAUGGAUGCUUUGGACUAUCUUGAUAAUCACUGUCAGCCAUCAAUCAUUCAUUGCGAUCUCAAGCCAAGCAACAUCUUUCUUGCGGAAGACAUGAGUGAGUGCCCGAGUUGGAGGUUUUGGCAUAUCAAGAAUCCUUCCAGAAAGUGCUAGUAAAACCCAGCAAAAUUCGAAUAGCACAACUGGAAUAAGAGGCACCAUUGGUUAUGUUGCACCAGGUAAUGAAAGAGAUGGUUUUGGUAUUUGAAAAAUGUUCUUAGUUCUUAUGUAUACAUGAGCUGCUGACCUUUGGCUUUUUUUUUUCCAAUAAGAGUAUGGUGAAGGUUCUUCUGUCUCAACUCAAGGUGACGUUUAUAGCCUCGGCAUAUUGCUGCUUGAGAUGUUUACUGGAAGGAGCCCAACGGAUGAGAUAUUCAAUGAUUCUUUGGAUUUGCACAAGUUUUCAGAGAAUGCUCUUCCAGAGAGAAUAUGGGAUAUAGUUGAUCCGACAAUAUGGAUGCACACAGAUGCCUAUAACAGCACUAUAAGAAGUGGAAUUAAGAAUUGCUUGGUUUCUGUUGUUUCUCUUGGAAUAUCAUGCUCGAAGAAACAACCUAGGGAGCGGAUCCCGAUUCAGGAUGCAGCCAUUGAGAUGCACGCUAUUAGAGAUUCGUAUCUCAAGUUUGCCAGAUCUCUUUUGGUGGAGCAUGGAGUAGUAGCAACAACUCACAGUGAUUUCCCACAACAGUGAAUACAUAGGACUGAAAAUGGGCAAGAUGUCUGCAGGUGAUCAGUUUACCUGAAAUAACUGAAGAUGUAUGAAGCUUCAGCUUUAUAAUUCGUCCUUGCAUUUGUUUGCAUCAGAUAUAUGGAAGUAUAAAAUAAGUUUAGAAAAUGUUUCAAAAUAGAUUAGAUCAAGAGGUUUUACUUGUCGUCUGUAUGACACAUUUUUUGUAGAGAAUUCAGUAAUAUGUAUGAUUCAUAAUACAAUCAAUGCUCUGCAAAUUUCAGAUAGCACAAUUGGAAUAAAAAGCUCAUUCAUUGAUUAUGUUGCUCUAGGUGACUCAACUUAUUGUGAUGUUCACUGUAGAUUUCUCCAUGGUCCAAACGACCAUUGUGAUCAGUUAUGUUUAUGCAUUUUGUAGACUUGUUAAGUCUUUCCCUAACUUGCUGACAUAUCAGCCGGAGCAGAGCACUCUGCCAUUCUGCGCCACUCGCCUCUAGGCGGCGCUUGCCGCUUGGUGGCUGCGGUGGCGACCGGCGGCAUCCGUACCUGCUCUGUCGGAGGCUGAGGGGCACAAUUACGUCUUGGAGUCGCCACCGCGCGACCUUCGGAGCUCGCCCAUGCCUCGUCGGUACGAGCUCAGUCGCGCGGUGAAUGGCAUGCGCAUCUGGGGUCCCGUCAGCUGCAGGUGCAGAUGGGUAGAGAGCUUAGCUGCGCUAGGUCUUCAGAAGAUGUUGAGUGGGCUGGAUGGGGCUUUGCGGCUCUGAAUGGCGACGCGGGCAGGACGACGACGCUGGACGCGUGGGGAGGAGACGACCUGAACCAGGGGCAUUUCGGAUAAUAGUCGGAUCGCGAUCAAUAAUCGCAAUCCAAAUUAGGGGGCUAUUUACAAAUAAUAGGGGGUAUUCCGUAAAUAUUCGGUUCGCGAUCAUUAAUCGCGAUCCAAAUGAGGGGUUAAUUGAAAAUAUGAUGGGGGUGUCUUUUGAAAUUCCGGAUUGCGAUCCCAUCCUCCGCCGCGGCUCGCCGGAGCGCCGCCAGACGCCGGCCGUCCCUUGGGGUACCUCUUCUUCGUUCCGUCUGUCGGAGCCCUAAGACGCGGUCGGUGUUUUAUCUGACAAGGAACCCUGAAGUCCGAACUAACUGAAGAAAGACAUGAUGCUGACCUGGAAGAAGAAGACGGCCUCGCCAUGGCCGGAUGCGGCGCGGUGGAAGGACAGUGUGUUGGCGGAGCGGAUGUUGUCCGACGUGAACUCGCCAGCGGCGUGGUCCACCACAUUCCGUCGACGGGCGGUGCACUUGCUGUCGCCUGUCGGCUACUUCCAGGCAGUAGCUGAGCUUCAGAGUUCAGACAGGGUGCUUGUGCUUGCAACAAGUUCAGAACGAUGUCAUUGCUUUGAUGCAGAGGAUGGAGCAAACCGGUUGCAAAUUGGAUUCUGAUACAUAUAACUUAAUAUUGAACCUUUAUGUCGAUUGGAAAUAUGAGAAGGGGUGCCCCAAAUAUGGGAUGAGAUGGAGAGGAGUGGAUCAGGCCCAGAUCAACGAUCAUUUACUAUUAUGGUUCAUGGUCUUCAUUCCCAAGGAAAGCUUGAUGAGGCUCAACAAUGAAGUCAAGAGGGUUGAUCCCUGAACCAAGGACCAAGAUACUGGUGAAAGCUAUACAUAUGAAGAAAGAUGGGGCUGUCACAGAAGAUCAGUCUGUAAAUAUGACAGGGAAGAAUCUAAAACUGGAUCCACGAUCUAGACUAUUCCAUGUUCAUAAAUAGUUUGCUGUCAGAUCUUACUUCUAUAACCUGAACAGAGGAUUGCUGGGCACGUAUUAUGUGUCAAAAGAAUCUCUUCUACCAGUGUCCUGAUCACAAUGGCCACACCUUGGGCUACAAUAAAUCAUCAGCAAAGUGUGUUGGCAUUAUGUAUCCCAGAAAGUUUUGCUCAGACUUUCAAUGCCAGGGUAUGUUUUUUAUGUCUGAUAUGGAUCAAUUAUAUUGCAAGUACUGUAUUACACCCUCGUAUUAUGAAGGUUAUGUGAAAUAUGACAGAUGUUUGUUUAUUCAUUUGUUAUGCAUGGCUGUGUCUACUAUCUAGUUGUUGGCUUGUUGCCAACAUAUGCAGCAGCAGGUAGCUUCAGCCGCUCAGAAGCCCAAAUGAAGAAUGGUCCAGGCAGAAUAGCUAGUCUAGACCCAGAAAGCUUAGGACAUGUCUUGCCAGCCUGCAGUUUUGUACUCGUAGCACCAACCAUCUCCGGGUUCUGGCCGGUUAUAUACAUGGUCUGGAAUGGGCAUCCGCUGAUCGAUUGAAACCUUGAACUGCUUCCGUGUUUGUCUUUUACCAUCUAUAUAGUAUGGUUAGUCAACGGCAUGCAAUACACCCAUGCAUAUGAUUGCAGUAGGAUGACAUGGCGUGACCAGAACCCUUCUUUUGCCAGUUUUUUAUUCUUAUACACGGCCAACAACAGGGAGUUGCCGAUUGCAAUACACCCAUGCUACUAACGCAGCAGGGAGUUGCAUGCUAAGCAGUUCAGCGUAGGUGGUGAGUUCUCAACUCUGAUAUGGUUUAUGGAAGAACACUGUCACGGUGUCACCUAGCCGGUUGGAGGCCAACCUCUUACUAGGGACAGCAAUGGCCCUGUCCACUGUUUCGUGGCUGGUAUUAUUACCCCUAUGCAGUGAAUAUGACAUGUGGAUCUAUGUGUAUAUUAUGUCGCCAGAAGAACAUUAUAUGAACCGUUGAGCCACCUUUGAUUCUAUUAAUGUGUCAUGGUCAAUUGAUGUCAAACUCUAUUAUCUUCAAGUCUUAUUGUAUUGAUAAAAUCACGAUGCUGCUACUGCCAUUUUGAUGUUUAUAAAAGGGUAUUGAGAACCUGGUGGGUAUCCAUUCGAUGCGCAGGGGUGAGGGUGGGGAAAAAUGAGUGUAAAGGACAGGGAUACAGUAUUUAGAAAGAUGGGGCUGCCACAGAAGAUAGUCUCCAAGUACGGCAGGGAAGAAUCUAAAAACUGAUUCCUUGAUCAAGACUGUCCCGUAUUCAUAAAUAGUUCACUGACAGAUCUUGCUUCCAUAUUCUGAACAGCUGAUGCUGGGUACAUAGGAGGUUAACCGGUCAGCGGAUCGAAGGAAAAAAAAAUCUUGCCUGUCAGUGUCCACAAUGGCCUCAUCUUGGGUUAGAGACAAUCAUCCCUAAAGAAUCAUAUUGCCGGAUAAGGUUAUCAGUGAUUGGUAGGUGCAGAUCCAUGCUCAUCCUAGAAACAAGCCAGGGCUGAAUGCGCCACUCAUUUUAGGUGCUUGGAUGUUGUGACCGAAAUGAUCGUGUGUUUAAUGGAGUUUCCCAUAGUGACUAGCGUACAGGCUGUCCUCGUAUUCGAGAAAAAAAAUAAUGGGCGAAAUGUUUUCACCCAGGUAAUUGUUGCAUUGUAUGAAUAGGCUUAGUGGUUGGUGGGUGCAGAGUAUGAAUGUGCUUGUACUGUGACACAAGAAGAUUUAUCAUAUCUAUGUAUGAAUUAGUAUUAAAUCUGCUACAUAAAUAUCUUCUCUUAUCUCAUUGUAUGUGUAUAUAUGACACAGAAGCACAUGUAUAUCAGCAUUGUAGAGAGAGAUGAGAGAGAAGCUUAUCUGCUUUUUGGAGAUAAAUAUUCAAAUUGUGGUGUAUGAGAAGGAUAGAAUUAUUCUAUCAAAUUGUUUAUUCAACAUCUAAAAAGAUUCCAUGUUUAGUCAUCUAUAUCGGCAUUGUAGAGAGAGACUAGUGUUCAACUGGUUGGAAGGAUGAGAGAGAGAGGAGAGAGAGAGGAUGAAUAGUGUUCAGCUGGUUGGAAGGAUGAGAGAGAGAGAGGAGAGUUUCGAUGAUAGAGAGAUUAGUGUUCACCUGGUUGGAAGGAUGAGAGGGAGAUGAGAGAGUUCGGAUGAGGAGGUGGAGAGUUCGGAAGAGAGAGAGGUGAGAGUUCGGAUGAGAGAGAAACAGCUUAGAAGGAUGAGAGAGAGAAAGUGAUAUUUAGCUGGAUGGUGGAGACUUCAUAUAUUACUAACUAGCAAGGUGUCCGUGCGUUGCUACGGUGAAACGACGUUGCUUAGCACGCGAUGUUUUUUAUCGUGUCGUGUAGCGCACCAUAUUUUUUAUCGUGUUGUGUAACUUUUUUAUUUUAGUAGUAUUAGACUUUUCAUAUAUAAAGGGUCACGUGAGUGUGUCCAUAUCCCAACCGUGCGGAAACCGCUUGCCAUCGAACUUGUUAUCUCUUUCUCUAUCUUGAGAUUGGUAUGCUUCUACAGCAAUUCUGCACAAAGAAGGCCCCACUUCGCCCCGUUCCCGCCGUCCGGUUAGUCCCACGCCUACCCUCUCCCUCUCUGAUCCUCGCUGUCGGCUCCUCGAGGUCCAGGUCGGGCUUGUGAUGUAGCGGCCUGUUAUCCUUCCACCAUUGGAAGCGGGUAGUGAUCGCUGCUCUGUGAACCCUGCCUCACGCCGUUCCUACCACUCCAGGUCCAGUGAAGCCUGAGCUUUCGCUUGGACAAACAGCCACUACCAACUUGGAACGGGCAGGGCCAGCAAGGGCAUACAAUGGACCCAAGCCCUCCGCACCCAAACAUCCACACCACUUUAAUGCCUCCACUUGGGUUACAAGCCCGCGCAACCAAGCUCGGUGAGGAUGACUCGUGAGGAUGAACAUUUAAGUUGGUGUGGCGCUGCUUCAGAUGGCGAGGUGGUACUAAUCUAAGGAAUAGGAAAAUUUCACAUGGGUCCCACACCGCACCCAGCCCUAUCCUUAUCCUUUCUCAUCUCUCUAUCGUCCGUCCGGUCCUUAUCCUCUUCAUCUCAUCUCUCUCUCUCUCCCUAUCUCUCUCUCAAACUCUCUAUCUCGCCUACCCCCUCUUUCUCUGGAGAAGGCGGUGCACGGCUGGCCCCAGUGAUGGCCUGGGGGCGCGGGGUGCCAAUAGCGGCCGAGGGUUGUAGGGCUGCGGCGAGGAGCCUCCCAGCCGUGGAUGCGACGGCCUAGCCAUGGGCACCGGGCAGGCGGCUCUGGCACGACCGGCUGGGGCGGGCAGGGAGAGGCGAACAGCAGUGCUACGACGUCACGAAGAGGCGGACGUCGGGCAUGGGCGGGUGAAAGGGGAGACGGGGAAAGAAAGCUAGACCCACCUAUCAAUGCGUUAAUCUUACCUAUUAUUAAACAUCAGGGCCACCUCUCGUUGAUAGAAGUUGGACCAAACAAGAAAAAGUGGGCAGAAGUGUUCCUCACUUUAAUAAUAAUAAUAAUAAAGUAUAGAUAAUGCAUCCAAACAACAUUCGAAAUUUAAUUUUAAAAAAAACUUUCUCGGUACAUCCAAACAAGAAAAUUCAAUUGAAUUAAAUUCUACUAAAUCCAUUUCUUAUGGAAUCUAAUAGCUAGAAUAUGAUUCAUGGGAUGAGUUUCAACUCUAGGGAUCUAAACAUGCCCUUAGUUAUUUCUUAUGUAGCUCAAAUCAGAUGCAAGGUAUGUCCUAACUAAAAAACGUAAGUUACUUUGUGUUAUCUCGUGAAUCAGUGAUUAAUUACUUCCGAUCACUAGUAGAGAAUUGGCUUUCGAUGCGCCCCCUUUUGUCCCGGUUUAAAGUUGGCCCGGGACAAAAGGUUCACCAACCGAGACUAAAGCUCGGUCACUGGUGGGGGGCUCACCAACCAGGACCUUUUAUCCCGGUUGGAAAGGCUAGUGGGAAAAAAAGAUCAUGAGAGGCUUUUUAUCCCGGUUUGAAACACCAACCGGGAUAAAAGACCCAUCUAACUAUAUAGGGGAUGUUACCAACCAGGAUAAAAAGGGUCGAGAGCCUUUUAUCCCGGUUUGUAAUACCAACUGGGAUAAAAGGGGGUCAUUUAUCCCGGUUGGUGUUUCAAACCGGGAUAAAAGGGUCCCAACGAGGUGACUGAAACAUGACUAAAUCCUGAACCCUUUUAUCCCGGUUUGUAAUACCAACCGGGAUAAAAGGGGGUCUUUUAUCCCGGUUGGUGUUUCCAACCGGGAUAAAAGGGUCCCCCACAAGUUAAUACAAAACGAUAACAUCCCCUAUAUAGUUAGAUGUGGUGUGUAGGUGGGAUGGCAAGGAAGCUACGCGCGAGGCUGGAGGUUGUGGGUUCGAAUCCCAUGCAGCGCGCACGCGCAUAUUUCGCGUGGAAAAUCGCGUGACUUGCGACGCGCGUGUGGGGGGCCUCCUGGGAGCUCGGAAUUUCUUUUUUUUGUUUUAUCCCGGAUGGAUUUUCGGAAGAUUUGCACCCUACCAAUCGGGACUAAAGGUCAAUUCUCUACUAGUGAAUCUUAUGUAAAAAGAACUACGAGUUAAAUUCUUUGUCAGAUUUAUACUGACAAGUUACAAGCACAUGCCUCUGCAGUAACAGGCCAGCCCUAGACUAGCGGGCAAACAAAAACAACAUGAUUCGUCAACUGAUCGAAUGUUAAUGACUAUUUUGCUAGGAGAAUGAACAUGAUUCAUAAAAAAAGGGGAGCUACUAACUUGGUCAAGGUCUCCGUCCUCUAGCGUGGCGAAGGGGCCAUCUUGCUCCACUCCACGUCUGCGUGGUUGCUAGGUGGGCGCGACGGCGGCUGCGGAGUGCGGACGGGCGCGUAGAUGUGUCAUUGUUGAUCAGGACAUGCGCUUCUAUCACCGUCUGUGGUUGGCGUCCGCGGCCGAGCGGGUCAAGGUCUCCGUCCUCUAGCGUGGGGAAACAGGAUCUCUUCAAUCAGUGCUUCUACAGAAACGGUGCACGGUCACCACGGACCAACGACAUACCAUGAGAAAAGCGGAGCUAAAUGUUGCAGUAGCAGAGUAACCGGAGACUGGAGAGCACUUGCUGCUAAAAGCUGCCUCUUAUUUUGUAUCGUCUUUAACAGAAGACUUUAAGUCAACCGCCAUUCGAUUCCAAUAUAAACUAGCAAGUUGGCCCGCGAUGAUAGCACGGCUAGAUUUGAUACAAUAUAACUUUUUUAAAUGCUAUGUUAGCUUAGUAUAUUUCUUCGUCCCUCUUGAUUUGUUUUUCAUCCUCUUGAAAUCACUUAGUAUACUUAGGUGCCUUACUCUACACAUUGAGUAUCAAGCCAUAUGUGUAUAUUUGUUUUUUUUUGCAAAUGAACUCCGAUGCCACAUGUGCAUAUGCACGCCUAAUUAAAAUUGCUCACUUGUAACAAAAUAACAAGAGUAGUUGAUUCUGAUCUUAUGUUGCAGUUUUUGCCAACUUUUCCUAGUAUUAUUGUGUUGAGUAGAAAGCCUGUGUAGAAAAAGAUACAAAACAAACAAUCGUGUUAACUACUCCCCAUACUUGCUCAAAUGAUUUUGAAAAAUAAAAACAACCGCGCUCUAAGUCCUAGGUGGUGAUAUUCCUCCUUACUUUCCUCCUCUCGUUUUCCUUGCACAAUCGAGGAUGACAAAUACCACAAACCACUUAGGCUCGAUCAUGUUUCAUCAUCACAUUCCUCAAAUCUUGAUCACGUUGUUGUCUUCAUUAUGCUAGCAGUACACAUCUCUCCGCCUCUUCUCACUGGUAGAGAAUUGGCCUUUAGUCCCGGUUGAUAGGGUGCAUAUCUCUCGGAUAUCCAUCCGGGAUAAACCAACCGGGACAAAAGGGAGGGUCUUUAGUCCCGGGUCUUUUAACCGGGAGUAAAGGUCCUCCUUUAUUUCCCAACCGAGACUAAAGGGUUACCCUUUAGUCCCGGCUGGAUUCCAACCAGGAGUCCCGGCUGGAUUCCAACCGGGACUAAAUGGCGCCUGCAUGGCACUGCCGUGGCGCCUGAAUUUUUCAUGCAUGCAUCACGUACGUAGUACCGCGACCCUUUUAAUUUGUUAAACUUUAGUAGUUGAGAUUUUUUUAGAACGAAAUCAACUAGUAUUUAAACGAAUGGGAUUUGUAAUUAUACAAUUACUAUAUAUGUACACAAUCCUUAUACACAAUUCAUAUACACAAUUCAACUAGCUUAGUACAAAUUGAUCAUAAUUAGCGCGUAUUAUAUAUACAAAUAAAUCAAAGUAUCUGUCUACAAUCUUCCCGUCGUGGUGUUGCUGAUCGGAGUGUCUAAUUGUCGUCCAUCGUAAUAAAAUUCUCCUUUUGGAUUUACCACCUUGUCCAUUAUGAAUCCAAUGAGACUUUCACAUAUUGCCGCUACUCUUUCUUCCUUCAAGAGUCCUUGUUGAAUAUUUAACAUCUAUAAUUUGGAAAUUUUUGAAUGUUACACGAACAAAUACAUAUAAGGAGCUAGAAAAUAAUUAACUAGUAAUAGUUUUAUUUUACGUACUUUAAAGUUGUGCGGCGUCAUCUUCGGUCCCUUGGGUCCCAUAAAACUGUGCAUGUGCUCACAGAUGUAGUAGCCACAUAGAUUAUUUCCGGGUUCCUGUCUUAAGCACUUCAGUGCGGAAAAAAAUAAGUUAUGAAAUAUUCGUAUUAUACAAUGUAAUAAAUGUGCAGACUUCAUACGUACCGGGAAGUCUGUGUUCCAUGUAAGUUUUUCUUUGAAUGGACCUUUGUGUGUCCUUAUGAAUUGUUUCCAUGCGCUGCAGAUUAGAAUAAUGAAUGAUAUAGUGUAACAGGAAUAAAAUUUAGGAAAUAAACUUUUGCAUAUAGAUAAAGGUACAGAAUUAUUACAAGCCUAGCAUGUCUUGCACUUCUUGGUAGUCCACCGGAUCUUUCCUUAACGAAUCGAAGACAGUGACGUGGCUUCUUUCAGGCUCAAUUAUAAUAAGAAUCCAGUGGAAGCUGCGUGCGUAAAAUGUUCAUGCAUAUUAGAGCUAACUAACAUGUAGAGAUAAGGAAAAAGACAUCGAAAGUAGACGGUAUACACACACUUACUUGAAGUUGUAUGGAAGUAGUAUGAAAUCCUUGAAUGUUUGUUUGUCUAGGAAAUUGUAUAUUUCCGCAAAGGUUUUUUCCGGUGCUAAUUGUGUCUGUUGUUGGUUAACUACAGAUGGAUCCAUGAAGCCUACAUGUAGGUACGCCUCUCGGCGGCAUGUCUGAAUUAGCAUCCUACAUGAAAUGGAAGAUGAAGUUAGUACGGUGACGCAUGCCAAAAUUUACAUGUAGAGAUAAACGGACACUUACAGAACCUAAGCGCUGAUCAGAGAGACGUCCAGGGCAUCAUGAUGGUACACUUCGUAUAUAUCCUUGAAGUCUAGCCACAGCACUUUCUCCCCUUCACCGUGAAAAUCUAUCGGUUUUACCUUCAUGCCGAUCAUCUCCCUCGAGUCGGCGGAUGCCAUCAUGUACCAUUGAUGGAAUGCGUACAUCUUUGUUGAUAGCUUCCGUACCAAUGAAGGCUUUACUAGAGGUUUGCCUAGCUCAUAAGGCCAUCUCAGCUCAGGGGGCGGUGCAGUUGGCGUCUCAACUUGCCCUAUGCAUUCAUCAAGUCCCAGACCUGUUUCUUCCAUGAACUUCAAUACAUUUGCUUGUUGAUCCAAGGGCAUUGCUUUUACCCGUUGAGCAUCUUUUUUUGAUAAAUGGCUGAGGUCGGGGACUGGACCGCUGGAAGAUGACUUUCCUUUCCUUUUAUCCUUUUCAUCAGCCUUUACUAGAGCCCGUUCAUAGUUUGACAAGAGUGGUAUCCUUUUCUUGGCUCCUUCUUCUAUCCUGAUAAAAAAGUUUAAAUCUCGCCGACUUACUGGCGGUGGCUCCAUCUCCCUUACUUUUUUUUCUUCGGCUUGUUUCUUGAACCACUCACUGGCCUCUCGUUGGAUUUCUGCCCACUGUUCCGCAUGAGACAUUGCCUCCCAGCGUUCCUUACGAGUCACUUCAGGCUCCUUUGUUUUCUUCUUUCUCUGUCUUUGCUUGGGAGGCGGUGCUCGUGACUUCUUUAGUGGUGGUGCAGGUUCCUUCAAGGGGGCCGCUCUUGGUGCCGGCGACGGUGAUCGGGGAGGGGUGUUGUUAUUGUCGUCGUCGCUCCCAGCACCAGGAUGUAGUGGAGAUGGAGACCUUGAUAUAGAUGGAAGGGACGGUCCUGGAGCAGGAGAUGACGGUCUCGAGGUAUGAGGAGAAGGUCGCUGCUGGGGAUCUACGGGGAGCGGUCUUAAGGUCUGAGGAGAUGGCUCCGUGCUGGGAAUAAUGAUGUAGCGUUUUUGCCAUAGAAUAAUCCCAUGAAGCGCAUCUGCCAAUGUCUUUUCCCCGUCGCCUCCCGGGAAGUCGAGCUCUAGACCUUCAUACUAGGGAUCAACUAUUUGCUCUACGCAGACGCUGGCGUAGCCUGUUGGAAUUUCCAUGCCAUGACUGCUCUGCCCCGCCAGGGUUGCUAACGCACUCCCGUACGCUACCUGUACAUAUAGCAGAAGUAAACAAGUUGAACUCCGAUCUCGAGGCCUGGAUCAAUUGACAAGAUUGCAUAAAUAUUAUGUAUAAGUAUACCUUAAUAGUGAGGUUGCCGACCGGUGCAUGCAGCUCACAUGAGGUCCGUUGUGUGAUGGCAUCCACGGGGAACCGUUGCUCCUCCACGGGUAACCUGGGCGUCUGCGCAUCGGGGACCCCUGUAGAAGCACAACUGCUCAAGAGGCGUUGAGAAGGGCUGGCGGUGUUAGGAAUCGGCAAUGCUCCAGAUUGGGCCAACUCCGCAACUGCGUGGGCCACCCGCCGAUUGGUUUCAUCCAUCAUUCUUUGUUCUUGUGCCUGCACUUUAGAUUCUAGCAUCUGCCGCCAGCUCUCCUCGAUCUGUUCCUUUCUUCGCUUCCGGCUUCUGUACGAGGUGCUGUCGCCUCGGAAAGCAAACUUCCACGGAACCACCCCGAACCCUCGGCAACGUCCUGGGUGUUCUGGAUUACCGAGGGCCAAUGUGAGCUCAUCAUUUUCUCGGUCCACCUUCAACCUCCCAGCCUUAGAAUCUUCAAUGUUCUUCAUGAGAUGUUCGGCCUUCUCACGUAUUGUGUCAUUAAAAAUCAACGUCCCAUCCUCUUGGCUUAGGGAGCCUCCAUGAGCGUAGUACCAAUUUUUUGAUCGUUCGGGCCAUUCAAUAGUUGCAGGUACGAUUCCCCGUUCGAUCAGAUCUUGUUCCAUCUUCCUCCACUUGGGAAUUGCUGAGCCAUACCCACCUCGCCCCAAAUGAUGGUGGUAGCCCUUCUGACUAGCAUUUGCUGUGUUGGUCGUGAUCUUUUUCACACCGUCUUCACUCCUCUUAUAUUCAACAAAUGCAUCCCAGUGGUCCCUCAACUUUGGCCACGCGUUGAAGUCUAGAGUUCGGCCCUUCUUGAUGUAGUGGGUAUCCAGCAUCUUCUUGAAUGUCUGGAAUUGAGUAGCCAUCUUCUUAAGCGUCCACGCUUUGACAUCCUUCUCACUAUAUCCUUCGGGGAAUGUGAAAUGUCUCUUCACGUCUUCCCACAGCAUAUUCUUUUCUGUCUCCGGAAGGGCGUACGGAUUAGUGCUUCUGCCCUUCCAUUCUCUGAUGCUGAUAGGCACGUUGUCCCGGACGAUUGCCCCGAUCUGACUCACGUACUUCUUUGCUACUUUCUCGGGAGCAACCGGCCUGCCCUCUUCUGUCACUUCCGUGAUGACAAGCCUCCCUUCCAUCACCUUUGUACAACCUUGGGUCUUCUGCCCUUGUGUCGAUCCGGAGGGCUAACAUUUUAAGAUUCGUUAAUUAGUACGUAGUAGUAACAGUGGCGUGAAACAAUACAAGAAUGGUUAUAUAUACCUCGCCGGAACCUUCCGCCACGGCAAGUUGUUGCUGCGGCUAAUGCUCUUCAUUCCCAUCGGUGGACAUGUUGAGGAACAUGUCCGCCUGGGUGCCCUCUUCAUCCGUGUAUGAUAGUGGAACGUUCUCGCCACUACCAUCACCAGCGAUUAUCUGCUCCAUGAUAUACCUUGCGGUCUCAUUGUCUGCCAUUUCAACUAUUGAUGGAAACAUACAUGGAAUCAUACAUGACAGUCAUAGAAAUCGUCUUACUACAAAUUUCUACAAAGUCCUACAAAGUCCGGAAUCAUACAUGUAUAUAAUGAAAUCAUAAAAUAACAUGAAUCCUACAAAGUCCGGAAUAUUUCUACGAAUUUCUACGAAUUUCUACGAAUUUCUACGUUCUAUGAAUUUCUACGAAUUUCUACGAAUAUCCACAUGCGGUGCCUAGGUUGUGACGGCGGCGAUCAGGGCGGCGGAGGCGGGGACGGUUCCCUGGAACCACGGGCGGUGCCUAGGUUGUGACGGCGGCGGUCAGGGCGGCGGUACGGCGGAGGCGGGGACGGUUCCCCGGAACCACGGGCGGUGCCUACUAGGUUGUGACGGCGGCGAUCACGGCGGCGGGACGGCGGAGGGGACACAUAUACAAAAAUAUAACUUAAAAAAAAUCUAACUUAAAAAAAAAUCUAACUUAAAAAUCUAACUUAAAAAUCUAACUUAACAAUCUAACUAAAAAAUCUAACUUAAAAAUAUAACUUAAUUUUCUAACUUAACAAUCAAAAUUAAAAAUCUAUCAUAAAAAUAUAACUUAAUUUUCUAACUUAAAAAAAAAGCCCUCCCAAUGCUGCCGGCCGGCGCGGCGGCGGACCUCUCGCGCGCGGUCGUCGACGGUGGCCGGGGCGACGAGGGGGCCGGGCGGCGGGACGGCGGCGGCCGGUGCGGCGAGGACGGCGGCCGAGGCGACGACGACGGCGGCGGCGUAGGCGGGACGGCGGCGGCGUAGGCGGGACGGCGACGAGGGGCGACGAGGCGGUGACGAGGAUGGAGGCGGUGACGAGGAUGGAGCCGGCGACGAGGAUGGAGCCGGUGGCCGGAGGCGACGAGGUGGGGGCCGGGCGCGUCGACGGACGAGGAGGAUCGAGGCGGGCCGGCCGGGGGGAUGGAGGACGACGAUGUCUGGGCGCGAUCGGCGGCAGGACGACGACAAACGGCGCAAUGGGGGAUGACGACGGCGGCGGCCGGCGAGGGAGGCGGACGGGCGGCGACGGCGGAGCAGAACGCGUGGAACUUGGCGAAAAUUUUGCUAAGUGUAACUGGCGGGGGGUAGAAGGGAGUACAGUGCCUUUUAAACCCCCCCCUUAUCCCGGUUCGUAAUGGUACCCGGGACAAAAGGGUGCCCCCGCCAGGUGGGGCUGGGAGCGUACCCUUUUAUCCCGGGUGCCACCACCAACCGGGAUAAAAGGGGGGGGGCCUUUUAUCCCGGUUGCAGUUGGCAACCGGGAUAAAAGGGUACGUCCGGGCGGGAGACGAAAAGUACCCUUUUAUCCCGGUUGCCGUUUGCAACCGGGAUAAGCAACCGGGAUAAAAGGGGGCCUUUUGUCCCGGUUGCUGUUAGCACCCGAGACAAAAGGUCUUUUUUCCUAGUUUUCUUCUCCCGCCUGUUUUUUGAAAUGGAUUUUAUUUUAUCUUUUCACUACAUUUCAGGAUGAAAAACAAAACCUUCACAGAUUUUGUACAUGCAAAAAUAUAUUUAAUUAACAAGUAAAUUGACAAUAAGUAUGAAUUAAUCAUUAAUUCUAUACCAGUUCAUUUAGCCUCUAAAAUAUUUAUUUUACUGCGUUGCUGUGAUUAAGAAAUUAUUCAAUUAAAUAAUUUCAAUGCGUAGAAAAAUCCAUGUUUGUAUGUGGUUAACAUUGUUCAUGUUUAUCUAAAAAAUCUUCACCUAACAAAUUUAAGAACACAUGAAAUCAUACAUAGGGUAAAAUUACAAAUUGUAUCGAUUAAUACACAAAGGUCAUGUACAUUUAACGCAUUACAAUACAACGUUGUAAAAUUUCUUCUUCACGAAAGUUCCUUGAUCAUGAUCGCGACGUAAGUACGGAGCCUCUUCUUUGGAUAGCAGGAUGCUUGGAUCAACUUCAACAGCGAAUGGAGGCAUGCCAUCAAACUGAUCAUAAUCAUCUGAUUGGUCUGUUUUAUCCUCGACUCCCACGAUUUUUCUUUUACCUGGAAGAACUAUGUGGCACUUUGGCUCCCAUGUCUCUUCUGGAUUCCUCUUGGGUUUGCUGCACAUGUCCUUCACAUAGAACACCUGAUCCACAUCAUUGGCAAGUACGAAUGGGUCAUCACUGUAUCCAGUCUUGCUCAGAUCUACUAUUGUCAUUCCAUACUGAUCUUUGGUGACGGUAGUUAGCUUCACCCAAUUGCAAAGAAAUAGAGGGAUGUACAGCGGUCCGUAUUCGAGUUCCCAUAUCUCCUGUAUGAAACCAUAAUACGACUCCUUGCUAUUAUUUCUGUCCAUGGCAUCUAUGCGGACACCACUAUUCUGGUUUGUGCUUUUCUGGUCCUGGGCUCUCGUGUAAAAUGUGUAACCAUUUAUCUCAUAGCCUUGGAAUUUGACGAUUGUGCUAGCAGGUCCCCUGGCUAACUAGGCAAGCUGUGGGUGAAUCUCAGAGUUAUCCAUAAGUUGUUGGCGCAACCAGGAGGGAAAAGUUUCCAUGUGAUGACGGGUAAGCCAAGCAUCGGAUUUGGUCGGGUUUUUUGAAGCUACUAUCUGUCUGUGCUGCUCGAUAUACGGAGACACAAAGGAUGACUGUUGUAGAACAGUGUAGUGUGCCUUGUCGAACAAAUCAGUAUCAUUGCUCAAACUUGAUUUCCUUCCAAGGGUGCCCAUUCCUCGGAGCCUCCCCUCGUGGCGUGAAGUUGGAACCCCAAUCGAGUCAAUUGAAUCAAUAAAAUCAACACAAAACUCGAUCACCUCCUCUGUUCCAUAUCCCUUGGCGAUGCUGCCUUCUGGACGGGCACGAUUAAGAACAUAGUUUUUUAGGACUGCUAUGAACCUCUCGAAAGGCCACAUAUUGUGCAGGUAUACAGGUCCGAGAAUACCAAUCUCUUUUACUAGGUGAACCAGUAAGUGCGUCAUAAUAUUGAAGAAGGAUGGUGGAAAUAACAACUCAAAACUGACAAGACAUUGCACCACAUCGUUCUGUAGCUUUGAUAGCUUGGAUGGAUCGAUUGCCUUCUGCGAAAUCGCAUUGAGAAACGCGCAUAGCUUUACGAGCGGCAACCGGACAUUUUCUGGUAGAACACCCCUCAAUGCAACCGGAAGCAACUGGGUCAUCAACAUGUGGCAGUCAUGAGCCUUGAGAUUUGUUAACUUAUUUUGUUUCAUAUUUAUUAUUCCAUUUAUAUUCGAGGAGUACCCAGACGGGACCUUCAUACUAUUCAAGCAUUCAAACAUGCUAUCCUUCUCUUCCUUGCUGAGAGUGUAACUGGCAGGACGUAAGUAGUGCUGUCCAUUAUCUCUCUUUUCCGGAUUUAGGUCAUCUUGUUGCCCCAUGGCUUUCAGGUCCUGUCGUGCUUCCAAUAUAUCUUUUGAGGUUACAUAAACACCCAUGAAGCCUAGCACGUUCACGCAAAGAUUCUUCGUCAGGUGCAUCACGUCUAUUGCGUUGCGAACCUCUAGGAUUUCCCAAUAAGGUAGCUCCCAAAAUAUUGACUUUUUCUUCCACAUGGGUGCAUGUCCGUUAUCGUCGUUCGGAACAGGUUGGCUACCAAGUCCCUUUCCAAAGACUACAUUUACAUCCUUCAUCAUCUCGAACACACGCUUUCCAUUACGGUGUGCAGGUUUUUUACGAUGGUCUGGCGCCCCUUUGAAAUGCAUCCCGCUCUUUCUCAGCUGGUGGUGAGCAGGGAGAAAUCGACGAUGACCCAUAUAGACGACCUUCUUACAGUGCUUCAAGUACAUGCUGUCUGUGUCAUCUAAACAGUGGGUGCAUGCCCGAUAUCCCUUAUUUGUCUGUUCUGAAAGGUUACUCAAUGCAGGCCAAUCGUUGAUGGUUACGAACAACAAUGCUCGUAGAUUAAAGAUCUCUUGUCUAUCCUCAUCCCACACACGUACACCUUCUUCCUUCCAGAGCUGUAAAAGGUCAUCAACCAACGACCUUAGGUACAAGUCAAUGUCAUUGCCGGGUUGUUUUGGGCCUUGGAUAAGCGCCGGCAUCAUAAUGAACUUCCGCUUCAUGCACAGCCAAGGAGGAAGGUUGAACAUACAAAGGGUCACAGGCCAAGUACUAUGGCCACUACUCAACUCACCGAAUGGAUUGAAUCCAUCAGUGCUUAAACCAAACCUUAUGUUCCUUGCUUCACUUUCAAAGUCUGGGAAUGUUCUAUCAAUUGAUCUCCACUGUGCCCCAUCUGCGGGGUGUCUCAGCAUCUCAUCUUCCUUACGGUCUUCUUUGUGCCAUCGCAUCAACUUAGCAUUCGCCUUGUUCCUGAAUAAGCGCUUCAAGCGUGGUAUUAUAGGGAAAUACCACAUCACCUUCGCGGGAACUCUCUUCUUGGGAGACUGCCCCUCGACAUCACCAGGAUCAUCUCGCCUGAUCUUAUACCGCAGGGCUUCGCAGACGGGACAAGCAUCCAAUUUCUCGUAUUCAUCACCACGAUAGAGGAUACAAUCAUUAGGGCAUGCGUGUAUCUUCUGAACAUCCAAUCCGAGAGGGCAAAUAAUCUGUUUAGCUUCAUAUGUUGUGGACGGUAAUUCAUUAUUCUCGGGGAGAAUCUUCUUGACAAUGUUCAACAUCCCCUGAAAUGCCUUAUCGGACACACUAUUUUUUGUCUUCCAUUGCACAAAUUCUAGUGUCGUACCUAGUUUUUUAUGGCCCUGCUGGCAACCUGGGUACAACAAUUUUUGGUGAUCAUCUAUCAUGCGCUGCAACUUUGCUACUUCCUUCUCAGUUUUGCAAUCUCUGUAUGCAUCUCGUAUCACCUGACGAAGGUCAUCAGUAGGGCCAUUUUCUGCAAACUCAUCUUCAUCAGCCUCGCCCAUUGUAGUACCUACAAAAGCUUGGCCUGCAACCCAGUCCGGAAUGGUGUCAUCUUCCUCCUCCUCCUCGCCAUCUUCCAUUACAACCCCUAGUUCACCGUGCUUGGUCCAAACCAAAUAGUUAGGCAUGAAACCGUAUUUAAACAAGUGGCUGUGAAUAGUCCCCCAGCUUUCCUUUGAAUACUCCUUCCUGUUAUUGCAUUGGAAGCAUGGACACAUACGAACCUAUUCUCUGGCUUGUUCGCUUUUGCCAUUUCGAGAAAAUAUGCAAGCCAUCAAUAAACGUCUUGCUCCGCCUGUCUGCNNNNNNNNNNNNNNNNNNNNNNNNNNNNNNNNNNNNNNNNNNNNNNNNNNNNNNNNNNNNNNNNNNNNNNNNNNNNNNNNNNNNNNNNNNNNNNNNNNNNAACAUAUUGAAGGAGAAGGACAUACCUCCUUCUCGUCGGUAAAUCACGCGGGUUAGCCUCUGAGCCAGGUAUAUUGUCCAGUCGAUGCAGAAGGGAUCACAGUUGUUACCUAAGUCUAGUUUAGCCGCGGAGCUCAGCUUCAACCCGGAUUAAAGGUGAACCACCUUUUAUCCCGGUUGGAGCCUCCAACUGGGAUAAAAGGGUCCCGCCACCAACAGCUCCCCACUAGCCGUUGCAACCGGGACUAAAGGGGGGCCUUUAGUCCCGGUUGCAAUUACCAACCGGGAGUAAAUCUUCCCUCCAUUUUUGCCUACCGUGGCGCACCCCCUUUUGUCCCGGGCCAACUUUAAACCGGGACAAAAGGGGACGGAUCGAAAACCAAUUCUCUACUAGUGUCUAUUCCACAAAACCAUAAUUGUUCACCGGCUCCAGCAUUGCUGUUGCUCUCCACCAAUGGAGGAAGCUCUUGUCCUUGGCACCACCUUAUCCACUGACCAGCUGAAGUUAUCUGUACGUCCUAAGGUCUCAUAAGAUUUUUGAUGAAUUUGCAUUAAUACUAAUAUUGCCACCAAUCUAGUCUCAACCUUGCCUCGUGUUCUCCGUGGUCAUGUUUUAUUCUAACUUGCAAGCCCUACAACUACAUAUGAUGGUUCUUCUAUAUGCAUAAUAUAUCGCAUCUCCUAAGACAUAUCGCGGGCCGGCGGCGCGCGGGGGAGCGGUGCCAGCAGAGCGGAGGCGACCGGCGGUGGGCAGAGGUGGGUGGGUGCGGGUGCGGGCGAAGGCGGAGGAGCAUGUGGGCAGAGGCGGGUGGGCGUGGGCGGAGGCGGAGGCGGAGGCUGGCGUGGGCGUGUGCGGAGGCGGAUGGGUGGAGGCAUGCAGCGGCGGUGGGCAGAGGCGGGCGGGCGCAGGUGAGUGGCAGCUGGGCCAGCGGCGUGGGCGGAGGCGGAGACCGGCAGCGGUCGGGCGGCGCGGGCGGGCGGCCGGCGAGCGUGGCGCUUCUUUUUUUUUCCAAAUUUUUUAGUCCCGGUUAGUGGUUGGUAACACCAACUAGGACUAAAGGGGGCCUUUAGUUCUGGGUGGAUGACCUGGAACUAAAGACCUCCUUUUUUAUCUCGAAAAAUUUAUCUCGGACGGCUUUUAGAGAGAUGUGAGCGUAUCCAAUUGGGACUAAAGGUGAGUUUUCCACCAGUGAAUGCAGAGCAGGCUCAUCCUAAAUGGUGACACCAUGCUGAUCACGCAAUUUAUCAUUAUUUUAUCGACCUCAUCCGUGUUUGUCUUUUACCAUCUAUAUAGUAUGGUUAGUCAACGGCAUGCAGUACACCCAUGCAUAUGAUUGCAGUAGGAUAACAUAGCGCGACCAGAACUGACGCAGUUUGCCAGUUUUAGAUUCGUAUACACGGCCAACUUACGCAGCAGAGAGUUGCAUGCUAAGCAGUUCAGCGUAGGUGGUGAGUUCUCAACUCUGAUAUGGCUUAUGGAAGAACACUGUCACGGUGUCACCUAGCCGGUUGGAGGCCAACCUCUUACUAGGGACAGCAAUGGCCCUGUCCGGCCACUGUUUCGUGGCUGGUAUUAUUACCCCUAUGCAGUGAAUAUGACAUGUGGAUCUAUGUGUAUAUUAUGUCGUCGAAAGAACAUUAUAUGAACCGUUGAGCCACCUUUGAUUCUAUCAAUGUGUCAUGGUCAAUUGAUGUCAAACUCUAUUAUCUUCAAGUCUUAUUGUAUUGAAAAAAUCACGAUGCUCUGCUACUGCCAUUUUGAUGUUUAUAAAAGGGUAUUGAGAACCUGGUGGGUAUCCAUUCGAUGCGCUGGGGUGGGGGUGGGGAAAAAUGAGUGUAAAGGACAGGGAUACAGUAUUUAGAAGGAUGGGGCUGCCACAGAAGAUAGUCUCCAAGUAUGGCAGGGAAGAAUCUAAAACUGAAUCCUUGAUCAAGACUGUCCCAUAUUCAUGAAUAGUUCACUGACAGAUCUUGCUUCCAUAUUCUGAACAGCUGAUGCUGGGCACAUAGGAGGUUAACCGGUCAGCGGAUCGAAGAAAAAAAAAUUCUUGCCUGUCAGUGUCCACAAUGGCCUCAGCUUGGGUUAGAGACAAUCAUCCCUAAAGAAUCAUAUUGCCGGAUAAGGUUAUCUGUGAUUGGUGGGUGCAGAUCCAUACUCAUCCUAGAAACAAGCCAGGGCUGAAUAUGCCACUCAUUUUAGGUGCUUUGAUGUUGUGGUCACACCGAAAUGAUCAUGUGUUUAAUAAAGUUUCCUAUAGUGACUGGCGUGCAGGCUGUCCUCGUAUUCGAGAAAAAAAAUCAAUGGGCGAAAUAUUUUCACCCAGGUAAUUGUUGCAUUGUAUGAAUAGGCUUAGAUACCUGGUUAGAGUAUGAAUGUGCGUGUACCGUGACACAAGAAGAUUUAUCAUAUCCAUGUAUGAAUUAGUGUUAAAUCUGCUACAUAAAUAUCUUCUCUUAUCUCAUUGUAUGUGUAUAUAUGACACAGAAGCACAUGUAUAUUGGCAUUGUAGAGAGAGAUGAGAGAGAGAAGCUUAUCUGCUUUUUGGAGAUAAAUAUUCAAAUUACUGGUGUAUGAGAGGGAUAUAAUUAUUCUAUCAAAUUGUUUAUUCAACAUGUAAAAAGAUUCCAUGUUUAGUCAUCUAUAUCGGCAUUGUAGAGAGAGACUAGUGUUCAGCUGGUUGGAAGGAUGAGAGAGAGAGGAGAGAGUUCGGAUGAGAGAGAGACUAGUGUUCAGCUGGUUGGAAGGAUGAGAGAGAGGAGAGUUUGGAUGAUAGAGAGAUUAGUGUUCACCUGGUUGGAAGGAUGAGAGGGAGAUGAGAGAGUUCGGAUGACGAGGUGGAGAGUUCGGAAGAGAGAGAGGUGAGAGUUCGGAUGAGAGAGAAAGCAGCUUAGAAGGAUGAGAGAGAAAGUGGUAUUCAGCUGGAUGGUGGAGACUUCAUAUAUUACUAACUAGCAAGGUGUCCGUGCGUUGCUAUGGUGAAACGACGUUGCUUAGCGCGCGAUGCUUUUUAUCAUGUCGUGUAGCAUACCACAUUUUUUAUCGUGCUGUGGAACUUUUCUAUUUUAGUAGUAUUAGACUUUUCAUAUAUAAGGGGCCACAUGAGUGUGUCCAUAUCCUAACCGUGAGGAGACCGCUUGCCAUGGAACUUGUUAUCUCUUUCUCUAUCUUGAGAUUGGUAGGCUUCUACAGCAAUUCUGCACAAAAAAGGCCCCACUUCGCCCCACUUCGCCUCGCUCUCGCUGUCCGGUUAGUCCCGCGCCUACCCUCUCCCUCUCCGAUCCUCGCCGCUAGCUCCUCGGGGUCCAAGUCGGGCCCGUGAUGUAGCGGCCUGUUAUCCUUCCACCGUUGGAAGCGGGCAGUGAUCGCUGCUCUGUGAACCCAGCCUCACGCCAUUCCUACCACUUCAGGUCCAGUGAAGCCCGAGCUUUUGCUUGGGCCGAACAGGCCACUACCAACUUGGAGCAGGCAAGGCCAGCAAGGGCACACAAUAGACCCAAGCCCAGAGUCCACACCCAAACAUCCACACCACCUUAAUACCCCCACUUGGGUUACAAGCCCGCGCAACCAAGCUCGAUGAGGAUGGCUCGUGAGGACGAACAUUUGAGCUGGUGCGGCGCUGCUUCAGAUGGCGAGGUGGUACUAAUCUAAGGAAUAGGAAAAUUUCACGUGGGUCCCACACCGCACCUACCCCUAUCCUUAUCCUUUCUCAUCUCUCUACCGUUCAUCCGGUCCUUAUCCUCCUCAUCUCAUCUCUCUCUCUCUCUCUCUCUGUCUCUCUCUCCCUCUCUCGCUCUCAAACUCUCUAUCUCUCCUAUCCCCUCUUUCUCUGGAGAACGCGGUGCACGGCUGGCCCCAGCGGCGGCCUGGGGGCGCGGGUGCUGGCGGCAGCCGAGGGUUGCGGGGCUGCGGCGAGGAGCCUCCUGGCCGUGGAUGCGACGGCCUAGCCACGGGUGCCGGGCCGCAUCGCACCGCGCGCUGCUGCCACCGAGUAGGCUGCACGCACUGCCUGCACACCAGGCGGGGUGGGCGGCCAGGGCCGAGCGGCGCGGCCGGGGCCGGGGAGGUGACUCUGGCGCGGCCGAGGCGGCUUGGGCGCGGCCAGCUGUUGUGGGUAGGGAGAGGUGGACAGCGGCGCAUGGCGGUGUGGAGAGGCGGACGUGGGGCACGAACGGGUGAAAGGGGAGACGGGGAAAGAAAGCUGGACCCACCUAGCAAUGCAGCCGGGGCCGGGGCCAGGGUAGCGCGGGUGGCCGAGGCCGAGGCCGAGGCCAGGCGGCGCAGUCGGGGCUGGGGAGGCGGCUUUGGUGCAGCCAGCCGUGGCGGGCAGGGAGAGGCGGAGAGUGGCGCAACGGCGGCGUGGAGAGGCGGACAUCAGGCACGGGCGGGUGAAAGGGGAGACAGGGAAAGAAAGCUAGACCCACCCGUCAAUGCAUUAAUCUUACCUAUUAUUAAACAUCAGGGCCACCUCUCGUUGAUAGAAGUUGGACCAAACCAAAAAAAGUGGGCAGAAGUGUUCCUUACUUUAAUAAUAAUAAUAAAGUAUAGAUAAUGCAUCCAAACAACAUUUGGAAUUUAAUUCUAAGAAAAACUUUCUCAGUACAUCCAAACUAGAAAAUUCAAUUGAAUAAAAUUCUACGGAAUGCAUUUCUUAUGGAAUCUAAUUGGUAGAAUAUGAUUUAUGGGAUGAGUUUCAACUCUAGGGAUCCAAAUAGGCUCUUAGUUAUUUCUUAUGUAGCUCAAAUCAGAAGGAAGGUACGUCCAAACUAAAAAACGUAAGUUACUUUGUGUUAUCUUGUGAAUCAGUGAUUAAUUACUUCCAAUCUUAUGUAAAAAGAACUACGAGUCAAAUUCUUUGUCAGAUUUAUACUGACAAGUUACAAGCACAUGCCUCUGCAGUAACAGGCCAGCCCUAGACUAGUGGGCAAACCAAAAACAACAUGAUUCGUCAACUGAUCGAAUGCUAAUGACUAUUUUGCUAGGAGAAUGAACAUGAUUCAUACAAAGCAGGGGAGCUACUAACUUGGUCAAGGUCUCCGUCCUCUAGCUACUAACAUGAUUCAUACAAAGAAGGGGCCAUCUUGCUCCACUCCACGUCUGCGUGGUUGCUCGGCGGGCGCGACGGUGUCGGCUGCGGAGUGCGGACGGCGCGUAGAUAUGUCAUUGUUGAUCAGGACAUGCACUUCUAUCACAGUCUGUGGUUGGCGUCCACGGCCGAGCGGGUCAAGGUCUCCGUCCUCUAGCGUGGGGAAACAGGAUCUCUUCAAUCAGUGCUUCUACAGAAACGGUGCACGGUCACCACGGACCAACGACAUACCAUGAGAAAAGCAGAGCUAAAUGUUGCAGUAGCAGAGUAACCGGAGACUGGAGAGCACUUGCUGCUAAAAGCUGCCUCUUAUUUUGUAUCGUCUUAACCGAAGACUUUAAGUCAACCGCCAUUCGAUUCCAAUAUAAACUAGCAAGUUGGUCCGCGAUAAUAGCGCGGCUAGAUUUGAUACAGUAUAAUUUUUUUAAAUGCUAUGUUAGCUUAGUAUAUUUCUUUGUCCCUCUUGAUUUGUUUUUCAUCCUCUUGAAAUCACUGAGUAUACUUAGGUGCCUUACUCUACACAUUGAGUAUCAAGCCAUAUAUGUAUAUUUUUUUUUUGCAAAUGAACUCCGAUGCCACAUGCGCAUAUGCACGCCUAAUUAAAAUUGCUCACUUGUAAAAAAAUAAGAACAACUUGAGUAGUUGAUUCUGAUCUUAUGUUGCAGUUUUUGCCAACUUUUCCUAGUAUUAUUGUGUUGAGUAGAAAGCCUGUGUAGAGAAAGAUCCAAAACAAACAAUCGUGUCAACUACUCCCCAUGCUUGCUCAAAUAAUUUUGAAAAAAAAAACAACCGCGCUCUAAGUCCUAGGGAGGUGAUAUUCCUCCUUACUUUCCUCCUCUCGUUUUCCUUGCACAAUCGAGGAUGACAAAUACCACAAACCACUUAGGCUCUAUCAUGUUUCAUCAUCACAUUCCUCAAAUCUUGAUCACGUUGUUGUCUUCAUUAUGUUAACAGUACACAUCUCUCCGCCUCUUCUAUUCCACAAAACCAUAAUUGUUCACCGGCUCCAGCAUUGUUGUUGCUCUCCACCAAUCGAGGAAGCUCAUGUCCUUGACAUCACCUUAUCCACUGACCAGCUGAAGUUAUCUGUACAUCCUAAGGUCUCAUAAGAUUUUUGCUGAAUUUGCAUUAAUAUUAAUAUUGCCACCAAUCUAGUCUCAACCUUGCCUUGUGUUCUCGGUGGUCAUGUUUUAUUCUAACUUGCAAGCCCUACAGCUACAUAUGAUGGUUCUUCUAUAUACAUAAUACAUCGCAUCACUUAAGACAUAUAUCGCGGGCCGGCGGCUCAUGGGGGAGCGGCGCCGGCGGAGCGAAAGCGACUGACGGUGGGCGGAGGCGGGUGGGUGCGGGCGGAGGCGGAGGCCGGUGCGGGCGCGUGCGGAGGUGGAUGGGUGGAGGCGUGCAGCGGUGGCGAGUAGAGGCGGGCGGGCACGGGCGAGUGGCAGCUGGGCCAGCGGCGGCCGGGCGGCCGGCCGGUGAGCGUGGGGCUUUUUUUUAUUUUUUUUCAAAAUGUUUUAGUCCCGGUUCGUGGUUGGUACCACCGACCGGGAUUAAAGGGGAAGACCCCGUCUUUUGUCUCGAAAAAUUUAUCCCGGAUGGUUUUUAGAGAGAUUUGAGCCUACCCAACCGGGACUAAAGGUGAGUUUUGCACCAGUAAUGCAGAGGAGGCUCAUCCUAAAUGGUGACACCAUGCUGAUCAUGCAAUUUAUCAUUAUUUUAUCGCCCUCAUGCAUGCUGUGCAUGAUUGAUAUUAGUAUUGGGCAGCUUAGAUUCCUCAGCGCAUCAUGCUGCUCAGCCAUGGAGGUCAAGGCAUCAAUAUUGUCCAUAUCACAACGUCUCUGCUUUCUCUUGUUGUCCUCCCCCUUCCCUCUACAUUGCACCUUCUUGUUUUCCUGAUCCUAUUGCCAGUUUGUUGCAGCCAUUUAUGGGCACCUCUUUCGUCCAUUGUCCACUGUUGUUGCCCGCUGCCUCAGUUCUUCUCUAACCAAAGCGGUCGUAUCGCGCUGGUCGGUAGGAAGCCAUCGUCUCACAAAAGCAUCGUCGUGAUCGCCAAACCACAUCUAGCCGAUGCCGAACCAUACUUGCCAUCUUCUUUGCCAACUUGCCGCUAUGGAAGCCUCCAUGCAUCGCUCCUCGAGUCUAUCCUAUCUCUAUCAGCUCCUGUGGUAUCCUGUUUUGUUUUUGCCUCAACCACGAAGCCAUAGGUAGCUGGUGCUAAAUUGCAGGGCCAGCAACAGCUAUUUCCUCUCCCUGGCCUUGCGGCCAUGCUAUGUAUUUUUCUCUCUCAAAAAAAAUUCCAAUGAUUUAAUUCUAAUGUUCCGAUCAUGUGUGAUUGGUUUAUUAAUUAAAGUUAUAGUUAUACACGAGUAUAUUAUAAAAAAAUAAUAUAUAUAUAAGUUACCAUACAAAGUACAACUUCCAAUAAGGUGGAGAGGUUCGGAUGGAAUUUUGAUUCAACUUACUCUAUUCUAGAUAUUAGAGUUGUACUAGCAAAAUAUCCAUACAUUGCUAUAGCAAAAUAUCCGUACAUUUGCUACGGUAAAAGAUCAAUUGUGUUUUUCAAACUAAUAAUAUUUUUUAUUUUCAUCACUAAAGUUUUAUUCCACUUAUUGGAUGUCCACACAUUUAAUAGAAAACUAAAAGAAUUUUAACUAAUUAUUUCCUUCAACUCAAAUACCAAUUAAAUUAAAAUAUUUUUUUAUUCAAGCAAGAGAGUUAAAUCAGCCUCCGAUGGCCAUCGAUGAGGGGCUCUUUAGUCCUGGUGAGUAAUAUCAACCGGGACUAAAGAACCCCUUUAGCCCCGGUUGUAAAAGUUAGUGGCCUCGGGAUUCUGUUGGGGCGUUUUGUCCCGGUUGCAACUACCAACCGGGACUACGCUCCCCGCCUCCACACACACAAUGUGCGUGCCUCACUUUCUCUCCUCCCUCUCCUUAAUUCCAGUACCCAAGCCUCCUCUCCUUAAUUCCAAUACCCACAUGCCUCCUCUCCUCCUCCCUUCGGCCCCUGCCUCCUCUCCUCCCUCUCCUUCUCCUCCGCUAGAUCCGGCCAACCCCCAUUCCCUCUUCCAAGCUCCUCCCUCUCCCUCGACCGAGGCGGGCGGCGGGCGCAGGUCGGGUGGCGCGGCUGGGGCCGAGGCGGCGUGGGCGGCCGGGGGUCAGGGAGGAUGAUAGGUGGUUACGAGGAUGAUACCUGCAGACAAUACUUUUAGUCCCUCAAUUUUUUCUGAGAAUUGCACUGUGAGCUGCGCUUUCAUUUAUGUCACACCGCUCAGCAAAAAAAACGGUGCAAAUCGACCAAAAUAAAUGAAUAAAUCACACGGUUUAGACUGGUGGCAUCUGUAUGUUUGAUGAGUUUUGAAUCCCAACAGACCUCUGUUUGCUUAUCCAACAGGAGGAAAAAACUUUACUUACUAAAUCAGCUUUGCAUGCCAGGCUGCAAUUGUUAGAGCAGAAUUGGGUAAUUUGUGAACAUAAUUGAAUCAAAGUUUUGUCUCAGACUAGUAAUAGAAAAUGGUAAUGCUCCACAGCUAGAACACGUUCCUACACUAGUUUAAAAAAUUCCCUGAAAUUGGCGACAAUGGUCAAGCUCAAUGUCAAAGUCAAAAAUUCCUACACACGUUCCUACCAUACUUGGAACUUGGAAGGCCGCUGGUCGAUGUCAAAGUCAAAAACAGAAGCAGACAGCGACGUCUCACCAGAUCACGAAUCAGAUGCGAUGCAUGUGCAUGUUCAGCAAGACAUUGAAAAGCAAGCUCUGUCUGGCAGCAGCUCUUCAAUACGCUCCAGCCCAUCUCUACCAUGGCAUUGGCAAUGCGCGUCAUGAGCUUGCUUCCUGCCACCAUCGCCGUGAUGAUCGCAGCGGCCUCCUGGGGAGCGCACGGCGGUGCCAGCGACGAGGCCAGCGCGCUACUUGCUUUCAAGGCUGAGCUCGCCGGCAGCGGCUCCGGCAUGCUUGCAUCCUGGAAUGGCACCGCUGGCGUCUGCGGCUGGGAGGGCGUGGCGUGCACCGGCGGCCAGGUGGUGGCACUGAGCCUGCCCUCCUAUGGGCUCGCCGGAGCCCUCUCCCCGGCCAUUGGGAACCUCACUUUCCUGCGGACCCUGAACCUGAGUUCCAACUGGUUCCAGGGGGAGGUCCCAGCAAGCAUCGGCCGCCUAGCGCGUCUGCAGACGCUUGAUCUGAGAUACAAUGCGUUCUCUGGUACGCUUCCUUCCAACCUCAGUUCCUGUGUCAGCUUACUGCUGUUAGAUCUCAGCAGUAACCGGUUCCAUGGGCGUAUCCCUGUUGAGCUUGGAGACAAGCUAACAAGUCUUCAGAAGUUCUCACUGGGCAACAACAGCUUGACGGGUGCCAUACCAGGAUCACUAGGUAACCUGUCAUCCCUGAUCUACCUUGAUCUGACAGAAAACCACCUCGAGGGUCCGAUCCCACAUGAACUUGGCAGCAUGGGCGGCCUGCAGGUCCUUUUCCUCUAUGAGAACAGACUCUCCGGUGUGCUUCCACACUCCCUGUACAAUCUGUCCUCACUGAAAAACUUGGUGGUAGGAAACAACAUGCUGUCUGGAACCAUCCCUGCUGAUAUCGGCGAUAGGUUCGCCGGUAUGGAAGUUCUUGACUUUAGUAGCAACCGAUUCAGUGGAGCUAUCCCACCUUCGCUCGGCAACCUCUCUGCUCUCACGUUACUAAACCUUCCAGGAAAUGAUUUUAUUGGAUAUGUGCCUUCUGCUUUGGGGAAGUUGCAAAGUCUUACUGACCUGUUCUUGAGUGACAACAGGCUAGAAGCAAACGACAGUCAAGGGUGGGAAUUCAUCACUUCACUGGCAAACUGCUCCCAGCUUCAGUAUCUUGUUCUCGGCAACAACUCUUUCAGCGGGCAACUGCCUAAUUCAGUCGCAAACCUGUCAUCAACUCUGCAACAUCUUUAUUUGGGAGACAAUAUGAUUUCUGGGAAUAUUCCAAUAAACAUCGGAAAUUUGGUUGGUCUUACAGUACUUGAUAUGGCAAAUACUUUAGUAUCUGGACAGAUUCCAGAGAGCAUUGGUCAGCUAAGAAACUUGGUUGGGUUAGGCCUUUACAACACUAGCUUGUCAGGCCUCAUACCUUCAUCACUAGGAAAUCUUACACAGUUGAAUAAUCUUUAUUUAUACUAUGGAAACUUAGAGGGGCCAAUUCCAUCAAACUUGGGGAACUUAAAGAAUGUGUUUGCCUUUGAUCUCUCAACAAAUCGACUCAAUGGUUCAAUUCCUAUAGAGGUUUUAAAACUUCCUCGACUUUCCUGGUACUUAGACUUAUCAUAUAAUUCACUAUCCGGGCCACUUCCAACUGAGGUUGGUACCAUGGUGAAUCUUAACGAACUGAUUCUGUCUGGAAACAAGUUCUCAGGCACCAUACCAGCUAGUGUUGGGAACUGUAUAUCGUUGGUAAAGCUGCUGCUCGAUAACAACUUAUUAGAAGGAAGCAUACCUCAAUCUCUGAAGAACUUAAAAGGUCUUGCAUUACUGAACCUAACAAUGAAUAAGCUAUCUGGUAGUAUUCCUGAUGCCCUUGCUAGCAUUGGCGACCUGCAACAACUGUAUCUUGCACACAACAACUUGUCAGGUUCCAUCCCCAAAGUUCUACAGAAUUUGACAUUGUUGGCAAAACUGGAUUUGUCCUUCAAUGAUUUGCAAGGCGAAGUGCCAAAAAGGGGUCCUUUUGCAAAUGCAACUCACUUGUCAAUUGAUGGAAAUGAUGAGCUUUGUGGUGGAAACCCUCAACUUCACUUAGCUCCGUGCUUCACAGCUGCUGCGGGGAAGAACAGAAGGCGAAUGUCAAGGUCAGUUAUGGUCACCGUAGCGUCAAUCUGCGCACUUCUAUUCUUAGGUUUAGUAGUUUUUCUUAUCCAUUUGAUCCACAAGACGCUCAGACAAGGAAAGGAAAAUCAACUCAUUCCCACAGUAAUUGAUGAACAGCACGAAAGGGUUUCAUAUCAAGCAUUAGCAAAUGGGACUGACCAUUUUUCGGAGGUUAAUCUGCUCGGACAAGGAAGCUAUGGUGCAGUUUAUAAGUGCACUUUACAUGACAAGGGAAUUACCGCAGCUGUAAAGGUAUUCAACGUACGGCAAUCUGGGUCUACUAGAAGUUUUGUGGCUGAAUGUGAGGCACUGCGAAGGGUGCGCCACCGAUGUCUCAUAAAGAUCAUCACCUGUUGCUUAAGCAUUGAUCACCAAGGCCAAGAAUUCAAGGCACUGGUUUUUGAGUUCAUGCCCAAUGGUAACCUAAAUGAUUGGCUGCAUCCAGCAUCCAAAAUACAGAGUCUGAGCAAUACACUCAGCUUAGCUCAGAGACUAGACAUUGCGGUAGAUAUCAUGGAUGCUCUGGAUUAUCUUCACAAUCAGUGUCAACCGCCUAUUAUCCAUUGUGAUCUCAAACCAAGUAACAUCCUCCUUGCCGAAGAUAUGAGUGCUCGGGUUGGAGAUUUCGGCAUAUCAAAAAUCCUUCCUGACGACACUAGCAAAACUCUGCUGAAUUCAGUUAGCUUCACUGGACUAAGAGGUUCCAUCGGAUAUGUCGCUCCAGGUAACAGAAACUAACACUGAUAUUGCUAUGUUCAGUUUUUAACUUCCAUUUUGCCAAGUCCAGUUAUCUCGGCAUGCACGUUGAUAAGUAGCUUGCCAUGAAUCCACUGACCAAAUAGUGUCUGAAAUCUGAAUUGACUGCAGAGUACGGCGAGGGUCGCGCUGUCUCAACUCUUGGAGAUGUUUACAGCCUCGGCAUACUGUUGCUUGAGAUGUUCACCGGGAUGAGCCCUACUGACGACAUGUUCAAAGGCUCCUUGGACCUUCAUAAGUUCGCCGAGGCCGCUCUCCCCGACAGAGCCUUGGAGGUAGCCGACCCGGCAAUCUGGUUUCAUGAAGAAGCAAAGGGCGAAGACCCUGCCACGGUGAGAAGCAGAAGCGAGAGGUGCUUGGCUUCAGUGGUCGGGCUUGGCGUGUCCUGCUCAAAGCAGCUGCCAAGGGAGCGGACGGCGAUGCGGGAUGCUGCCGCUGAGAUGCGUGCGAUCAGAGAUGCCUUCCUGGUUCAAUGUGCAACAGAGACUUGGCCUGCAGUCGGCACCACCGGCCUUGGGAGCGCAGACAGUUGAAUGGUGGACGGAGCUACGGUCUCUUGAUGAACCAAGGAGCACCGGACUAGCAACUCUGCAACUAACAGAGUGGAGAAAGCGCCCCUUAAUGAAAAGAAAAACAGCCGGUGCAAGGCUUUAUAAAAAGAAUGUGACAGCCACUGCGUGUAUCCGAGAGACUUAUCUAAUCUACCGAGGAUUGUUGGGUAGGGAUGCGUAUAGAUUAUGCACGUGCUCCCUCCGUCCCAAAAUAAAUGCACAUCUCGCUUUUCGAGGAGUCAAACUUCUAAGUUUGACUAAAAUUUAUAAAAAAAUGUACUACUAUUUAUAAUGUAUAAUAAAUAUCAUUAGAUUGGGCGUUGGAUAUACUUUCCUAAUAUAUUUAUUUGAAGAUGCAAAUGAUGAUACUAUUUUCUUUAUUCUUAGUCAAACUUAAAAAUGUUUGACUCUUCGAGAAGUGAGAUGUGUGUUUAUUUUGGGAUGGAGGGAGUACCCGUCACGGGGAUUAGUCACGAUAUAAGUAGGGACUAGCAAGCACCAAAAUCCCAUUCACUGCCCUUCGAUCGCUCAAAUAAAACAAACCAUUGCAUAUGGUGGCGAUGCGCUUGCGGGCCUUUUUCCAACCUUUCUGCUGUCGUGGGUCUUGAACUCGCAUGGAACAGUUUUAGUGAAAGCGUGCCCUUCAAUUUUGGGAAGAUUGCGAAGCCUCAUUUACCUGUCCUUAGUGACAAUAAGUUAGGAUCCAAUGAUAAGGACGGAUUGGAAUUCAUCACCAUGCUGGCAAACUGCAGCCAGCUUCAGCAACUGGCUUUUGACAAUAAUUCAUUCAUCGGGGAACUUCCUAGCUCAAUUGCAAAUCUAUCGACAACACACCAAUUACUCUGUAUAGGAAACAAUUGGAUUUCGGGAUUUAUUCCAUCCAGCAUAGGUAAUUUGCUUGGUCUAGAACUGCUUGCGUUGGCAAAUACUUUCAUAUCCGGAGUGAUUCCAGAUAGCAUUGGUCGCCUAGAAGACAUGUCCGUGUUAGGCAUUUACUACGCUAGCUUGUCAGGCAUCAUACCUUCGUCACAAGGAAACCUUACACAGUUGAAAACUCUCUAUGCGUACGAUAGCAACUUCGAGGGUCCAAUUCCAGCAAGUGGGGGAACUUAAAGAAUGUUGUUGUUCUUGAUCUCUCAACGAAAGUGUGUAACCCGCUAAGAUUUCGUGUCGAAGCAAAGCAUAAACCUCUCUUAAGACUGCAAAGCUAUCAUAGAGCAGAUCAGUCUAAGACAAUGUAGAACUUAGUCAAAUUUUAUUUAUAAACAUUCAAGUACAAUUUAUGCAAAGUAAAUUUGAAAAUAAAGUAUACGUAAACAUCUAAGCGCAUAGCUUUAUGAUUUGAGUUGAACUAACCAAAUAUAAUUGAAAAACACAUUUAUAUUUAUAUUAAGUCAAAUUAACAUAUAAUUAUGAAAGCUCGAGAUAUAACUUAUGGAGCCUUUAUUUAGAAAACAAAUUGAAUAAACAUUAAUCAAUUUAAGUUUAAUUAUGAACCACCAUGUUGCAUCUCUCAUUGACUUUUAAUUGAAAGAGUUAUUUAAAUAAGCAUUAACUAAUUUAGCAUUUAUUAUGAAAAGCAGUUAUAACACUAAGUAGCUUUUAAUUAAAGAAGACAUGUUUAACAUGCAUUAAUCAGAUUAAUAUUAAAUUUAUUUUAAAAACAUGCAUGAUGGAAAGAUCAGUACUAACAUGUAAUUUGUGUUAUUACAAACCUAACUCAAUAAGAACAGAUAUAAACGGAGCUGUAACGACCAGUCUAUGGGUUAAACAAGGUUGCAGGGCCUAAUCAUGAUUAACGGAAGGUUAUUGGGGCUAGCAAGGAAGAUUUGCAAGACACUGGAAUAGAGCUCCCCAUUAGGUCAAAGCAUAGGGCGAUUGCGAAAUCAAGAACUCGAAGGUGAUCGCGAGAACACGAAGGACACGAAGGUUUUAGAUAGGUUCGGGCCUCCGGAGAGUAAUACCCUACGUCCUGUAUGCUAGUUUGUAUUGCUUGAGAUUGAUCUGAUUGUUGGGAUACCCUCGGGGGUGCCCUUGGCCGCCUUAUAUAGGCUGACGACCAAGAGUUAAAAGUCAGUUUGAAUCUAAUCUACUCGGUAGUUACAUGGAAAGUAAUCUGAGUUGGACUACAGUACACGUUCCAUGAUAUCCAGGCAGAUUUGAACUGUCUUGUUGCCUUGACUUGCACUCCAAGUAACUUCAUGUCCUCGGCCCGCACGCCCUAGUCGGGCGGGCCCUACUUGUCAGUCCGGCCAGUAUCCUGGUCGGUCGGGGCCCAUGGGGUACCCAUAUCCCUCAAGCCCCCGAGCAUUGUGUAGGUGAAGAGUAACUUGAGGUCACCACAGUGAAACUUGAAAUGAAGUCGGCUGAAGCUACGAAGACAUCAUGGCGACGGAGAGGCUGCACAGUGCUCAAAAGAAGAAAUUCUGAGCAAACGCAGAGCCAACGCGUAGAGCGAAGACGAGUGCCGAGUUGAUGGAUGCUGGCAUUCAGCAGUCGGAGCAAAGGUUAUGGAGGGCCUCGCAAAACGCACUCUGUAGGAGUAGCCCCCGAGCAUUAAAGUGAUUAAGAUAAUCGGUACAAUAGUCAAAGAAGAAAAAGUUAUCCCCUAAAGUAGAUCCUAGUGCUCGAACAUAAGGAUGGGUGAAGCCAUGGAGGCCCGCCAACCAGAAGUAGGCACCCAGACCCAAGAAUGAGGACUAGCGGGACCGUGUAGCCACGUUGACCUGAAAUAGGCGCCCAACCCCUGAGGACGAGGACUAGCGGAGCCACGGAGGCAUGCCGACCUGAAGUAGGCACGCAACCCCUGAGGACGAGAACUGGAGGAGCCAUGAAGACACGCCGACUUGAAAUAGACGCCAAGCCCCUGAGGAUGAGGACCAGUGGCGCCACGGAGGCACGCCAGCCAGAAUUAGGCAUCCAACCCCCGAGGAUGAGCAUGAGGACUGGUGGAAGCACGUCGAGGUGCCUCCCGCCUCGAGCCGAGGCAGAGAGGUCAGUCGGGCGACGGGAGGCACAUGAGUCAUCUAUGGCGCGCAACCGCCGAGCCUGGGAGCCGGACGAGUUGCAGAAGCAUGCCAAGUCGCCUCCCGCGGCGAGCUAGAGAGGUUUGCUGGGCGACGGGAGGCACGCCAAGUCAUCUGCAGUGCCCAGCCCUCAAGCCUUAGGGCCGGCUGAGCCAUAGAAGCAUGCCAAGCCGCCUCCCGCCCCGAGCCAGAGAGGUCGGCCGGGUGACGAGAGGCACGUCGAGUCAUCUGCGGCGCCCAGCCCCCGAGCCUAGGAGCCAGACAAGUCAUAGAAGCAUGCCAAGUUGCCUCCCAUCCCGAGCUAGAGAGGUCGGCCGCGUGACGGGAGGCACGCCGAGUAGUUUUUGAGCUAUAAAAGGACAAUACAAUCAUCAUGUAGCAUAGUGUAGAUCGUUUAAUCAUUGAACAACUCGGAAGUUUAAUUCACUAUAUAAGUAAACUCUUGCGCAUCCUGCUCUUGUAGGCUAAGUAAUUUCCCCAGGUAGUUAGCCUGUUACGUUUAAGCACCUAGCCCUACUGACCACUGCUCACAGAGAUGACGGUUUAUCUCAAGCUAUAGCGCUGGGGCUGACCUGAUGCUUGCAUAUAGGAGACGCGCAGGAUGAGUUAAGGUUUUACGGAUUAAGGCAUGUGCUACCCGAGUACUUUAGCAACUGUUAACAGGGACAGACAAGUUGCAAAGCAGCCGGAACUGUGCGGAAAAGCACCAGCAUGAGCUAGGCACCCAUGGGGUGUAACCCCUGGCCGCCCGUGUAGUGGACGGACCAAGUUGUAUAAACAGUUAGGGUGCGACCAAGGUGGUGGGCAAAAGUCACGGAGACAUAGGAGAGCUGAGGCGGUCGACGAAAGUCACAGGAACAUGGAGGAGCCGAGGCUUAUGUAGGUAUACGGAAGCCAUAAAAUAUUUAAUUGUAAAUAAGACUUAGCUUGAUUCGUGAUCGAGUCGAAGAACCCGCAUGUCGUCUUUGCGUUUAGGCUUAGAAGCCCCUGAGCGUGGUCAGCGGAUAGUUGUUGGUGAAGCAAACUAGUAGGGCUCCAUGCCCGACUAAUUCGUGUCAAGUCCGAGUUGUUGGAGUUGUUAGUGGCAAGUCUGUGGCUGCGAUCGUGGUAUGCUGCUGCCAAGUCGAUGCGGCCAUCGGGUCGUGGCUGGCUGGCCGCCACGCUCGCAAUACAGCAUGCCUGGGUUGUGCUGCCAAACCAAAGGUGCAUGUACAUCUUUCCGAACCUCGUAAGGAAGCCCUCAGGUAUUAAGGAAAUCUAUACCUAAUAUUAAAGUGCGGUUGUUUGUUCCAACCAUUAUGGUUGUUUUGCAAAAAAGUCCCUCAACUUUUUCGUAAUCAGCUCGCAGUCCUUGGAAUAUGUCUUGAUGAUUUUGCAAAAAGGUCCCCAAACUUUACUGCAAUUGGCCGUCGAAGCUCCCGCAGCAUGCACCUACGCCACGUGCGGUGCGGACGAGUGUGCUGGCGGUGGCUGCAAGCUCCUCACCACAGCGGGGACCAGGUCGAGCAGCGACAGCGAUGACGGAGGGGAGUAGUCCGCAUCCGCGUGCCGUGCUUCCAUCGUCGGGCAAGCUGUGGCGGCGGUGGAGAGGGAAAGUGAGUACAUCGGCGUGUGGCAGCAGUCGUGGGGCAGUUUGGCGGCGGAGAUCCAUGACCCGCACCUCGCUGUGCGCAAGUGGCUCAGCACCUUGGACACCAUUGAGGACGCCACACACGUCUAUGAUGUCGCCGCCAUCGAGUUCCGAGGCCACCACGCCAAGCUCAACUUCCCCGACGACAUGGUCCCCGUGCCCGCACCUUCUAGGGUGCCCACCUCUACAUACCACUACCACCACCACCUGCCGCAGCCGCUGCCCAAGAGUCUGCACAAGACCUGCGGGUCGAACGCAUCGUCGUCGGUGCACAUGGCUCCUGGAUGACGGCAGCUUCUUGUCACCCAUGCCAUGAUCGUCACAUUCUCCUCUUGUUUUCACUUUCGUUGCUUAGCGGAUAAUGGUGGUCAGCUGCCCUUUGGUCUGUCGUCAAUCACCAGCCAUCCAUCGCUUUCAUAUGGUUUUACACUAGCUUUUGGGCUUUGACCACACCUCCACACCCAUAAAGUGGAGUGAUGUUGAUCUACUGCCGCUCGCCCUGGCGUGCAACUACUGUCGCUCACCCUAGCACAUGGCUACUCACUCGGGCUGCGUGCCCUACCCGCCACCUGGACCUAAGAGGUGAAGGAGAGAGGAGGAAGGGGGAAGGAAAUAAGGAGCCGAGUGCCUCUUUGCAGUCAACCAAGUAGAUCCAUGUGCCAGCGAAGGCAUGGCGCCAGCAAGGGGGGGGGGGCGCAGCAGCAGUCGGCAGGCAACGCAAAUUGGGGCAGAGGUUGGGACCUCACACCCCCCCUCUCAAUGACGUCCAUCCCCUUAAGAUCCGGAACUAAAGCCUCCACAUCUAGCAAUUGGGGGCUCAAUUUUGCACUUGAUUGAAAUGAUUUGGAGUGGAUUAUGGAAGGGAAGUGGAUGGAAAUGAGAAGAGGAGGAGAACGCACUCCUGCUCAUGGCGGCCAGAGGCGUUGUGGCCUAGCGCUCGAAGCAGGAAUGAGGCUAGGCACAGGAAGGACGAGCGCUUGCCUGGGCGAUGGUGAGGAUGGCAAGAUGCGCAGCGCCUGGAUGACGGCGAAGAUGGGGCUAGAUGCGGGUGGCGCUGAUGGAUGAAGAGGCAUCGACUGGCUAGAUGACGAUGAGUACGGGGGAAAUCGAAUGAAUGGAUGGAGCGGAGGUUGAGCGGUGAUUUUUUUUAUUUCCAUAUGUGGGUCCCACAUAAUAAACAUAUGGCAUCAAAUCACCCAUAAAUAUCUUCUACUACUAUACUGAGACAACGCACCAACAUAUGGUGAACCGAAGCCACCGUAUUACGAACAAGCGAAUAAUAACGUGAGAAUAAGUAAGGACCUGUAGCAACGCACGGACAUUUCUGCUAGUGAGAAAAAAAAUUGUUAUCUACCGCAGUAAGCACCGAGCAACAUAGGAGAUCUACUGGAUGGAAUAGAUUAAAUAAUAAAGGGAAGGGAGAAUUGUUUCCUUUUUUUUCCGUGGCAGAUCCGACAUGUCUGCAUGCAACAAGUUGAGGCCGACGUGUCGUGCUAAAUCAAUUGGAUCGGACUGGGGCUGGAUCAGGCGAGCUUGGCUGUGGCCGGGAUGAGGCCAAUAAGGGCGCCGCCCUUGACCUUGGCCUCCUGCGUCUCGUGGAUCUUCUGCAUCUAGAGCAUCCGCUCCAUGACAAGCUUGUACUGGCACUUCUCUUAGGCGUGGUGCUCAGGCUGGCACUUCCAGGGGAGGUAGAACUCGGAGGUGCACGCACUGGUUGUGGUAGGCGAGCGGCACCUGGGCCACCGCCAUCUCCACCUGCGUGAUGAUCUAGGGCUUCAAGGAGCCGAACUGCACACCGACCGUUGCUGCCGCCUCCAUCUGUCACUUUCUUCCCGUCUCUCUCACCGGCGAGGUCGUUCCAUCGAUAGAUGGGCAUUGCGGGUUUGGUGCGGUGUGGGUAGGUGGGGUGCAGCGAGGACAUGAGGAACCCUCUCGGAGAGAGAGAUUGCCAAUCUACUGGGCAAGUGGCAUGAUGAUCCUUGGAUAGAGAACUUGCUCCUCCGGAGUAAAUCCGACAGAUGCCGAGCUGGCGGCAGGCAUCGAGUCGAAGUCCACCGACAUGCUCCCGAAGCAGAGCUGGAUUGGGUUGGCGAGGAAGUCCUUCAUGCUCUCGGAAAAAACAAUGUCGGGACGGGAUGCCAUCGAGCUCGCUAGGGAGGAUCUCACAAUCAUCCCUACCUGGCAUGCCAACUGUUGGAUUUAUAAGCCUGAUAGUCCACCAGGGGGUUACCCAAGUAGUUGAUUUCUAGGUGAGGGCGAUUGUGAAACCAAGAACUCGAAGGUGAUUGCGAGAACACGAAGGGACACGAAGAUUUUAGAUAGGUUCGGGCCUCCGAAGAGUAAUACCCUACGUCCUGUAUGCUGGUUUGUAUUGCUUGAGAUUGAUAUGAUUGUUGGGAUACUCUUGGGGGUGCCCUUGGCCGCUUUAUAUAGGCUGAUGACCAAGAGUUACAAGUCGGUUUGAAUCUAAUCUACUCGGUAAUUAGAUGGAAAGUAAUCUGAGUCGGACUACAAUACGCGUUCCAUGAUAUCCAGGUAGAUUUGAACUGUCUUGUUGCUUUGACGUGCACUCCAAGUAACUUCAUGUCCUUAGCCCGCACGCCUUAGUCGGGUGGGCCCUAGUUGUUAGGUCUGACCAGUAUCCUGAGGUACCCAUAUCUCUCACCUUGGUGCUCCGGCGAUUAGGGUCAACGGCGAGGAUGGGGAUUGGAAGAGGAGAUCAAGGGGACUUUAUGGAGAUGCUCACCGGUGGUGAGGUGGACGGAUUCCAGCCAGAAUUUGGCUGGCGGUGGAAGAACACGACAGGUUGCUCAGGUCUUCGCGAGUGAUGGUACUCCAGCAGUGGAGCGGCGACGAAGACUAGUGGCAGAGCAGCUCCUCGACAUCAUGGAGCUCCCUAAGGCUCUAGCUUGCUCCAAUGGUCGACGGGCAUAGCGAAUUGGCCAGAGAAGGCUGGUAGCGGCUCCUAGCUUCGGUGGAUGUGGGGGAUGGCGGCGCUUGUGGAGGAUGGCGGUGCUUGUGCAAGCUGGGAAGAGUGGCGGCGCGAGGCAGGGUAGCAGCAGGGGCACUGUCUCGACUUUUAUAGGCGCGUGGGUCCGCGCCUACCUUGGCACGCAUGCUGAGGUUCGGCGGUGGCGACGACCAACUGCAGCUACGCUUGGCCUCAACCCGUUGGUGGCCGAUGGGCCUAGCGGACCUAGCCGAGCCAUCAGCUGGGCUGGGUCGGUGAGGGUCGAGCCGCAAAGACUUGGCCCGAUUGAUUAGGAUUUUCCUUUUUUUUAGAAAUGAUUUCUUGUAAAAGAAAAAUCCAGAAAAAUUCUAUAUAAUUAAUUUAAGCAACGAAAAAACCCUAAAAAUCCAAAAAUUCCAGGAAAAAUCCUAGAGAUAGUUUGGGAAUGAGGAGUACAAAUAAAAUACUUGGAGCUCAUGAAAAGGAUUCUAGAACCUUCCAAAAAUUGGAUUUAGCUCUAGAAAAAAGAGAAUAAAUCUUAGAAAAAUCUUGAAAUUCUCAUAAGAACCUAAUGGGCAUCUAAACGCAUUCCAAAACCUUUGCACUUAUGAAAUACCAAGAUGCAUCGGCAUGAAUGCAACACAUACAUAGAACUAUUAUAUUUAAUUCAGAAAAACACUCAAUUAUUUUCCUAUACUAAAUUUCCUGUCAGGAAAAUAAAUGUUGGAAAAAUUUUAAAAUUAUGAGAAAAUCAUUGUUUAAUUAUUAUUUUUAAUCACAUCCUGAAAUUUCAAAAAUUUUAAGGUGUGACAGAUACCCUCAGGUUUACAGAAUUUGACAUCCAUGUGCAAAUUGGAUCUAUCCUUCAAUGAUUCUUUGGAUUUGCACAGUUUUCAGAUAUUUACUGGAAGGAGCCCAACGGAUGAGAUAUUCAAUGAUUCUUUGGAUUUGCACAGUUUUCAGAGAAUGCUCUUCCAGAGAGAAUAUGGGAUAUAGUUGAUCCGACAAUAUGGAUGCACACAGAUGCCUAUAACAGCACUAUGAGAAGUGGAAUUAAGAAUUGCUUGCUUUCUGUUGUUUCUCUUGGAAUAUCAUGCUCAAAGAAACAACCUAGGGAGCAGAUCCCGAUUCAGGAUGCAGCCAUUGAGAUGCACGCUAUUAGAGAUUCGUAUCUCAAGUUUGCCAGAUCUCUUUUGGUGGAGCAUGGAGUAGUAGCAACAACUCACAGUGAUUUCCCACAACAGUGAAUACAUAGGACUGAAAAUGGGCAAGAUGUCCGCAGGUGAUCAGUUUACCUGAAAUAACUGAAGAUGUAUGAAGCUUCAGCUUUAUAAUUCGUCCAUGCAUUUGUUUGCAUCAGAUAUAUGGAAGUAUAAAAUAAGUUUAGAAAAUGUUUCAAAAUAGAUUAGAUCAAGAGGUUUUUACUUGUCGUCUGUAUGGCACAUUUGUUUAGAGAAUUCAGUAAUAUGUAUGAUUCAUAAUACAAUCAAUGCUCUGCAAAUUUCAGAUAGCACAAUUGGAAUAAAAAGCUCAUUCAUUGAUUAUGUUGCUCUAGGUGACUCAACUUAUUGUGAUGUUCACUGUAGAUUUCUCCAUGGUCCAAACGACCUUUGUGAUCAGUUAUGUUUAUGCAUUUUGUAGACUUGUAAAGUCUUUCCCUAACCUGCUGACAUAUCAGCUGGAGCAGAGCACUCUGCCGUUCUGCGCCACUUGCCUCUAGGCAGCGCUUGCCGCUUGGUGGCUGCCGUGGCGACGGGCGGCAUCCGUAAUUGCUCUAUUGGAGGCUGAGGGGCACAAUUACGUCUUGGAGUCGCCACCGCGCGACCUUCGGAGCUCGCCCAUGCCUCAUCGGUACGAGCUCAGUCCCGCGGUGAAUGGCGCGCGCAUCUGGGGUUCCGUCAGCUGCAGGUGCAGAUGGGUGGAGAGCUUAACAGCACUAGGUCUUCAGAAGAUGUUGGGUGGGCUGGAUGGGGCUUUGCGGCUCUGAAUGGCGAGGCGGGCAGGGACGACGGCGGCAGCGGCAGGCGGCGGCACUGGACGCGUUGGGGUGGAGACGACCCGGACCAGGGAGCAUUUUUGAAAAUAGUCGGAUCGCGAUCCUAAUUAGGAAAUGUGAGAAGGGGUGCACCAAAUAUGGGAUGAGAUGGAGAGGAGCGGAUCAGGCCCAGAUCAGCGAUCAUUUACUAUUAGGGCCCGUUUGUUUGGCAGGAAUUGGGCUGAAUUGGAAUUACUUUCCUAGGCCGACCUGUUUGGCUGCACAUGGAAUUGGAAAUCGUCUUUCCGGUGAUUUUCACGGGCUGAUUUUCUUACUUGCGACACAUUCCGGGCCUAAGACAAAGAAAUCAAUUCCAUCCGACUUGCUUCCCCUCCCGACUCGCCUCCCUUCCCCGACACCGCGCCACCUCCCUCUCCCAACUCCCCUCCAUCCCGACGCCGCACCCCCUCCUCCACCGCCUCCUCCGGCGCCCCCUCCUCACCUCCCCCUGACUCGCCUCACCCCGUGCUGCCGCCGCCCUCGACUCUGACUCCCCGAGCGCUGCGCCGCCGCCUCUCGCGCCGCCGCCCCUCGCGACCACCUUCUCGACGGCGAGAUAAACCUCCUCCAGUUUCCCUCCUCCAUCUCGUUCUCCGGCUCACCCCUUCCUUUUUCUUCCUCACCGGCUCACCCCUUCCCCUUGAACAAUCCGCAGAUCUGCGGGGGAGGUGCCACCGGCAAGCAGGCUGGGAGCAGCUGCAACGGCGGCCGCCCCAUCCACGUCUCUACGGACGGCAUCUUCAACAUUCCGACCACGCGCGUGCUCUCCACUAGCAAAGAAGCUGUACGUCCCAAUCCCUUCUGCCCAUCCCCUUUGCUACUCGAGCCAGCAAAGAAACUACUAGUUAGUUGCAUCAGAUUCUCACUGUCAAAUUGGAAGGCCAUUGCUCUUGCUCCUACUAGUAUACCGCACUUUCCACAAAAUGCGACACACGAAUUUGUUAAUUUUGCCGUAAUUCUGCUAUCAAAUCAAAAGGCCAAUCCUCUUGCUCUAAACAGUUUCUGCAAUUUCGUGCACUAUCGAUUGCUAGUGCUAAUUACAUGGAGGGCCUUUGGUACUUCUCUGCUAAUGCUAAUUAUAUGUGACAUGCUCUGAGAUUCUUCAUACUGUGUGCUGCCAUUAGUUUAAAUUUGGUAGAAGCUGAAAUCUCUUCGUAGAUCAUUAUGUGCUGCCAUUCUGAUAUCCUGUGGAGUUGCAUAUCAACUACUAGUGCUAGCAUUUAGUUUUAUCUGUCACAGCAGUUAAGCAUCAGUCAGCCCUUAUCUAGCAUUUAGUUGGUGCAGCUGUGCAAGUGAUGUUCCUAUUGUUUUUAAUUUUUGUCUUCUGCAGCAUUUUGCAGGCUGUCUAUGUUUCUGCUUAGUUUCGUGAAAUAGUGUAGCAUUUUGAUGAUAAAUUAAAACAUUCCUUUUUGCAUAUGUUUAGAUGCCUGACAGCAACAUAGACUUGGUUAAUACAGGCAUAGAGCAAAUGAGAGAGAGCGUAGGAAGAAGAGAAAAAGAGUGGCUAUUUUAUUUAUUUCUGCUGUCAUGAGCAUGAUUGUGCACUAAUGCGUAAGAGACCUAGGCGUAUCGUUGAUCCGGAUGAAGUGGCUGAGAGAAAUGUUGCUAGUCGGAAACAAAUGCCAAGGAAUCUGUACUAAGGAUCAAAUAUUUUUUGCUAUGACAGUUUGCGCCUAAUUAAGAGAUCAUUUUCUGACCUAUGUGCCAUCUUACGUGAUAGGUGCGGUAUGUGUGAUACUGUCGGUAGAAGAAAAUGUGGCUAUCUUUUUGCUUAUAGUGGGCCAUGGCACUAAGAUGAGGAUGAUUCGUAGCUCAUAUAGGUGGUCGCUCGAGCCAAUCUACCAUCAUUUCAAUGAGGUGUUGAGAGGUGUUCUAUCAUUAUGCCAUGAAUUUAUCAAGCUUCUUGAUCCAUCAGCUGUAGAACCUGAGGAUUCCAAGUGGAAGUGGUUUGAAGAUUGCCUUGGAGCAUUAGAUGGUACACAUAUUGACAUUUUGGUGCCUUUGGCUGACCAAGGGAGGUAUAGGAAUAGGAAGCAACAGAUUACCACCAAUAUUUUGAGGGUUUGUGAUCAUCACAUGAAAUUUAUUUACAUCUUAGCAGGAUGGGAAGGAUCGGCUUUAGAUUCACGUGUGCUACGUGAUGCAAUGUCUCGGGACGAUGCAUUUCUUAUUCCAAGUGGGAAAUACUAUCUUGUAGAUGCUGGAUACACCAAUGGACCGGGCUUUCUUGCUCCAUAUCGAUCCACUCGCUACCACUUGAAUGAGUGGGCUGCUCAAGGGCAUAACCCAUCCACUCCCAAAGAACUAUUCAAUUCGCGCCAUUCAACUGCUAGAAAUGUGAUAGAGAGAACAUUUGGGCUAUUAAAGAUGAGGUGGGCUAUACUAAGAAGCAACUCAUAUUUUAACUUACAAAAUCGGGUAUUCCGUAGUUAGUAACCUAGCUUGAAAUUCACCUCUGAAUGACCCUAGCAUGUAACUCAUUUCUACUAAUUUUUUGCAGAUUAGGAUCAUUAAUGCUUGUUGCAUAUUGCACAACUUUGUAAUUGAUAGACAAAGAGAUAUAGAUGACUUACUUAUAUACACCAAGUUGAUCAAGUAAUAUAUGUUGAACCUCAUGAAGUUCAAAGUGAAGUGGGCAUGAUUAGCAAUGUUCAAUCAUCAAAUGAAUGGAGCAAUUUUAGGGAUACCAAAGCUAACCAAAUGUUUGCUGAUUACCAAGCGAGACGUGGUCAAUGUAUGAUAAAUUCUAUCAUCAAUGCAUGCUCAAAUUUAUGAUAUUUGGUGUUGCUCCUUAAUAUUUUACUGAUAACCUUUGUGAACUUUUUUCUUGUAGAAUAUGGAGAAGGGCAAGAAGUCAGUCUCGAGCAGGGGUUACAUUUGUUGGAAUGACGACAUGAAUAAGGCUCUUCUUGACACAUUUGUGGAGUACUAUAACAAGGGUGACACAUGCCAAAAUGGGUGGAAGUCUCAUGUCUAUACAACUUCUAUCAAGAAUAUCCGAGAAAAGUGUAAUGUGGAUAUCACAAAAGACAACAUCAUGGCAAGGAACAAGACCUUUGACAAACACUACACUAUCAUCAAUGGUAUGUUGGAAUCAAGUGGAUUUGGUUGGGAUUGGAACAAAAAUAAAAUAUCUGUUGAUAGUGAUUCUGUAUGGGAAGAAUAUGUGACGGUAAGUUUCAAAAACCACUGAUUUACUUGCUUAACUUGCUUCUCUUUACAAGCAGUUUUCAUUUUGUUAGACACAAUCACAUAUGAGGUUAUCCUUAUUUUACACAUGGUAUGGUAUGAAUCUACUAGGUGGGCUUGGCAUAUAAUUGAAAGAUUUUUUGUACUCUAUCUAAAGUGGCAAUGAUUGUUUCAUCAAAACUUAUUGUUCCUGAAAACUUAUUGGCAUAUAAUUGAAAGUUUCUAUCUAUUGUUGAAAACAGUGUGUAGUGAAUUAUGUUCGUUACCUGUGUUCCUAAACAAUUAUGUAUGCAUCCUUGUCCCUGUAUGUUUUGUUACUUUUUUUAUUGAUAGUGUGGCAUCUUUAGGUUGUUCUUGAAAUGAAAGUAUACUUUCACUGCACAAGAAUUUAUUGGCCAGAAUAGUGGCUUGUAUUGGUCAGAUCCUAGUCAGCAAGUGCACGUCUCCUACAAGGCUGAGAAUCUUGCGUGAGGAAACUAGAGAGACCACUAGCAUGAACAAUGCCUCUCCAUACUCUGCAAUUUUUGAACUUUAGAUGCACCUGUCUCUUUGCUAGAAUUGCAAAUUAAGUAUGAAACAUGAAUCGACAUCAUUUAGUAUUGUUGUGCAGCACCAUACAAUGGUUUUGUGGUUUUGUGGAUUCUAGAAAAGGAUUCUCACAAAUGAUAGUUGCCAGUUAUACCUUUUGUUGCCAGUUCUACAAAAGGAGCCAUGGAUGUGUUUCAAUUUGUAGAUAUUCAUUGUGCAAAAUGCGACUAGAGCUUCUAGUACAUGUAUUUCUAAUAGUAGAAGCCAUGCAGAAGUUCCUGUAUUUGAACUACAGUAUGUAAACUGAUCUAUAUGUGUCUAAACUGGUCUGUAUGUGAACUACAAUGAUUGUACUUCUAUUUGGGUUCAGUACAUACUUGCUCUACACUUGUUUUCUAACCAAGUACAUUUAUUUUCUGUAGAAAAAUAAAGAAGUUACUGGGUACAGGCACAAGACUGUCUUGUACUGGGACUCAAUUAGCUUGGUGUUUGGCAAAGGCCAUGCUACUGGUGAAGCGGCAAAGACUGUGGCUGAGAGCUCAAAAAAUAUGAGUAAGGAAUAUCUUAGUAACAAAGAACCCACAUCAUCGGCAACUUCAGGAAGUUUAAAGAGGCAACGAUCAGGUGACUCUUUUACCUCUAUGAUAGCUGAAAAAAUGGACAAGUUUGCUGAAGCACUCAAGGAGGAAGCCCUAAAGGCCUAACAUCAAAAGAAAUUCUAGACACACUGAAUGAGGUACAAUGAUUGGAUGAAGACACUUUGUUGGACCUAUUUGAUAUCCUGACCGGUGAUGCACGCAAGUAUGAGUCUCUGUUGGCGCUUCCGGAGAAGAUGAGGAAGAGGUGGCUCCUAAAACAGCUCAAGAAGUGAAAAAAUUAGUUCAUAUAUAAAUUAUACUAUCAAGUGAUGGAUAAUGUCUAUUGAACUUCCAUUGCCUUGUAAUAAUAUGUGGCUUCAACUAUAUGAAAGUUUAGAUACUAUGUCUGUAUUGCUUGCAUUGUCAAGAUAAUAUGUUUAUCAUGAUCUCAUACUAUGUCUGUCAUGAAAGUUUAGAUAAUAUGUGGCUUCAACUUGUCAUGAUUGUAAUCUCCUUUGACAUGUUGCAAGUAAUCAGAUAUGUCUGCCAGGAUUGCAUUGUCAAGUAUGAAUGUAUAUCAGCAUUGUAGGGAGAGAAGCUUAUCUGCUUUUUGGAGAUAAACAUUCAAAUUACUGGUGUAUGACGGGAUGAAAUACUCUAGUGUUCACCUGGUUGGAAGGAUGAGAGGGAGAUGAGAGAGAGAGUUUGGAAGAGAGAGAGGUGAGAGUUCGGAUGAGAGAGAAAGCAGCUUAGAAGGAUGAGAGAGAGAAAGCGGUAUUCAGCUGGAUGGUGGAAAUUUUAUAUAUUACUAAUAAUGCAUCCAAACAAUAUUUGGAAUUUAAUUCUAAGAAAAACUUCCUUUGUACAACCAAAUAAGAAAAUUCAAUUGAAUCAAAUUCUACGGAAUCCAUUUCCUAUGGAAUCUAAUUGCUAGAAUAUGAUUCAUGGAAUGAGUUUCAAUUCUAGGGAAACAAACGGGCCAUGGUCUUCAUUCCCAAGGAAAGCUUGAGGCUCUGCAAUAUUACACAACAAUGAAGUCAAGAGGGUUGAUCCCUGAACCAAGGACCAAGAUACUGGUGAAAGCUAUACAUAUGAAGAAAGAUGGGGCUGUCAUAGAAGAUCAGUCUGCAAAUAUGACAGGGAAGAAUCUAAAACUGGAUCCACGAUCUAGACUAUUCCAUGUUCAUAAAUAGUUUGCUGUCAGAUCUUACUUCUAUGUGUCAAAAGAAUCUCUUCGACCAGUGUCCAGAUCACAAUGGUCACACCUUGGGCUACAAUAAAUCAUCAGCAAAGUGUAUUGGCAUUAUGUAUCCCAGAAAGUUUUGCUCAGACUUUCAAUGCCAGGGUAUGUUUUUUAUGUCUGAUAUGGAUCAAUUGCAGGUACUGUAUUACACGCUCGUAUUAUGAAGGUUAUGUGAAAUAUGACAGAUGUUUGUUUAUUCAUCUGUUAUGCAUGGCUGUGUCUACUGUCUAGUUGUUGGCUUGUUGCCAACAUAUGCAGCAGCAGGUAGCUUCAGCCGCUCAGAAGCCCAAAUGAAGGAUGGCCCAGGCAGAAUAGCUAUGUCCAGACCCAGAAAGCUUAGGACAUGUCUUGCCAGCCUGCAGUUUUGUACUCGUAGCACCAACCAUCUCCGGGUUCUGGCCGGUUAUAUACAUGGUCUGGAAUGGGCAUCCGCUGAUCGAUUGAAACCUUGAGUUGCUUCCGUGUGUCUUUUGCCAUCUAUAUAUUAUGGUUAGUCAACGGCAUGCAGUACACCCAUGCAUAUGAUUGCAGUAGGAUGACAUGGCGUGACCAGAACCCUUCUUUUGCCAGUUUUAGAUUCUUAUACACGGCCAACUGACGCAGCAGGGAGUUGCAUGCUAAGCAGUUCAGCGUAGGUGGUGAGUUCUCAACUCUGAUAUGGCUUAUGGAAGAACACUGUCACGGUGUCACCUAGCCGGUUGGAGGCCAACCUCUUACUAGGGACAGCAAUGGCCCUGUCCGGCCACUGUUUCGUGGCUGGUAUUAUUACCCCUAUGCAGUGAAUAUGACAUGUGGAUCUAUGUGUAUAUUAUGUCGUCAAAAGAACAUUAUAUGAACCGUUGAUCCACCUUUGAUUCUAUUAAUGUGUCAUGGUCAAUUGAUGUCAAACUCUAUUAUCUUCAAGUCUUACUGUAUUGAUAAAAUCACGAUGCUGCUACUGCCAUUUUGAUGUUUAUAAAAGGGUAUUGAGAACCUGGUGGGUAUCCAUUCGAUGCGCAGGGUUGGGGGUGGGGAAAAAUGAGUGUAAAGGACAGGGAUGCAGUAUUUAGAAAGAUGAGGCUGGCACAGAAAAUAGUCUCCAAGUAUGGCAGGGAAGAAUCUAAAACUGAAUCCUUGAUCAAGACUGUCCCAUAUUCAUAAAUAGUUCACUGACAGAUCUUGCUUCCAUAUUCUGAACAGCUGAUGCUGGGCACAUAGGAGGUUAACCGGUCAGCGGAUCAAAGAAAAUCCACAAUGGCCUCAUCUUGGGUUAGAGACAAUCAUCGGUAAAGAAUCAUAUUGCCGGAUAAGGAUAUCUGUGAUUGGUGGGUGCAGAUCCAUGCUCAUUCAAGAAACACAUGAUUCUUUACGGAUGAUCAUCUCUCAGCACACCCUGCUGAUAAGGUUAUCUGAGAUUGGUGGGUGCAGAUCCUAGAAACAAGCUAGGGCUGAAUGCGCCGCUGUACUUGGAUGUUGUGGUGACACCGUAAUGAUUGUGUGUUUAAUGGAGUUUUCCAUAGUGACUAGCGUGCAGGCCGUCCUCGUAUUUGAGAAAAAAAUCAAUGGGCGAAAUAUUUUCACCCAGGUAAUUGUUGCAUUGUAUGAAUAGGCUUAGAUACCUGGUUAAAGUAUGGUGCGUGUACUGUGACACAAGAAGAUUUAUCAUAUCUAUCUAUGAAUUAGUGUUAAAACUCCUACAUAAAUAUCUUCUCUUAUCUCACUUUAUGUAUAUAUAUGACACAGAAGCACAUGUAUAUCGGCAUUGUAGAGAUAGAGAUGAGAGAGAAGCUUAUCUGCUUUUUGGAGAUAAAUAUUCAAAUUACUAGUGUAUGAGAGGGAUAGAAUUAUUCUAUCAUAUUGUUUAUUCAACAUCUAAAAAGAUUCCAUGUUUAGUCAUCUAUAUCGGCGUUGUAGAGAGAGAGACUAGUGUUCAUCUGGUUGGAAGGAUGAGAGAGAGAGGAGAGAGUUUGGAUGAGAUAGAGAGAUAGUGUUCAGCUGGUUGGAAGGAUGAGAGAGAGAGAGAGGAGAGUUUGGAUGAUAGAGAGAUUAGUGUUCACUUGGUUGGAAGGAUGAGAGGGAGAUGAGAGAGUUCGGAUGAGGAGGUAGAGAGUUCGGAAGAGAGAGAGAGGUGAGAGUUCGGAUGAGAGGUGUGAGAGAGGUGAGAGUUCGGAUGAGAGAUAAAAUAGCUUAUAAGGAUGAGAGAGAGAGAAAGCGGUAUUCAGCUGGAUGGUGGAGACUUCAUAUAUUACUAAUAAUGCAUCCAAACAACAUUUGAAAUUUAAUUCUAAGAAAAACUUUCUCGGUAAAUCAAAACAAGAAAAUUCAAUUGAAUCAAAUUCUACGGAAUCCAUUUCCUACGAAAUCUAAUUGCUAGAAUAUGAUUCAUGGAAUGAGUUCCAAUUCUAGAGAUCCAAACGGGCCCUAAGAGAAUUGUAGUGAUCAACUCCCAAGUUGCAAUAUAUUCUAGGAAAUAGGUGGUUAUGAGGAUGAUACCUGCAGACAAUACUUUUUAUCCCUCAAUUCUUACAGAGAAUUGCACUAUCAACUGCAUUUUCAUUUGUGCCACGCUGCUCAGCUAUAAAAAACGGGGCAAAUCGACCAAAAUAAAUGAAUAAACCACAUGGUUUAGACUGGUGGCAUAUGUAUGUCUGAUGAGUUUAGAAUCCCAACAGACCUCUGUUUGCUUAUCCAACAGGAGGGAAAAAGUUUACUUACUAAAUCAGCUUUGCAUGUCAGGCUGCAAUUGUUAGAGAGUAGAAUUGGGUAAUUUGUGAACAUAAUUGAAUCAAAGUUUUGUCUCAGACUAGUAAUAGAAAAUGGUGAUGCUCCAUAGCUAGAACAACACGUUCCUACACUAGUUUAAAAAAUCCCCUGAAAUUGGGAACAAUGGUAAAGCCCAAACCAUACUUGGAACUUGGAAGGCCGCUGGCGGAUGUCAAAGUCAAAAACAGAAGCAGACAACGACGUCUCACCAGAUCACGAAUCAGAUGCGAUGCAUAUACAUGUUGCAGGCAUUAGCACGCAUCCCUUAGGAUUAAACAAUUCAGCAAGUAGCUCCCCUGCUGACCAAGAAAAGCAAGCUCUGUCUCGCAGCAAGCUCUUCAAUACGCUCCAGCCCAGCUCUACCAUGGCAUUUGCAAUGCGCGUCAUGAGCUUGCUUCCUGCCACCAUCGCCGUGAUGAUCGCAGCGGCCUCCUGGGGAGCGCACGGCGGUGCCAGCGACGAGGCCAGCGCGCUGCUUGCUUUCAAGGCUGAGCUCGCCGGCAGCGGCUCCGGCAUGCUUGCAUCCUGGAAUGGCACCGCUGGCGUCUGCAGCUGGGAGGGCGUGGCGUGCACCAGCGGCCAGGUGGUGGCACUGAGCCUGCCCUCUUAUGGGUUCGCCGGAGCCCUCUCCCCGGCCAUUGGGAACCUCACUUUCCUGCGGACCCUGAACCUGAGUUCCAACUGGUUCCAGGGGGAGGUCCCAGCAAGCAUCGGCCGCCUAGCGCGUCUGCAGACGCUUGAUCUGAGCUACAAUGCGUUCUCUGGUACGCUUCCUUCCAACCUCAGUUCCUGUGUCAGCUUACUGCUGUUAGAUCUCAGCAGUAACCGGUUCCAUGGGCGUAUCCCUGUUGAGCUUGGAGACAAGCUAACAAGUCUUCAGAAGUUCUCACUGGGCAACAACAGCUUGACGGGUGCCAUGCCAGGAUUACUAGGUAACCUGUCAUCCCUGAACUACCUUGAUCUGAGAAAAAACCACCUCGAGGGUCCGAUCCCACAUGAACUCGGCAGCAUGGGCGGCCUGCAGGUCCUUUUACUCCAUGACAACAGACUCUCCGGUGUGCUUCCACACUCCCUGUACAAUCUGUCCUCACUGAAAAAGUUGGGGGUAGGAGACAACAUGCUGUCUGGAACCAUCCCUGCUGAUAUCGGCGAUAGGUUCCCCGGUAUGGAAGCUCUUGACUUUUCUAGCAACCGAUUCAGUGGAGCUAUCCCACCUUCGCUCGGCAACCUCUCUGCUCUCACAAAACUAAUCCUUCAAGAAAAUGGUUUUAUUGGAUAUGUGCCUUCUGCUUUGGGAAAGUUGCAAAGUCUUACUGCCCUUUUCUUGGGUGUUAACAGGCUAGGAGCAAACGACAGUCAAGGGUGGGAAUUCAUCACUUCACUGGCAAACUGCUCCCAGCUUCAGGUUCUUGUUCUCGGCAACAACUCUUUCAGCGGGCAACUGCCUAAUUCAGUCACAAACCUGUCAUCAACUCUGCAAGGUCUUUAUUUGGGAGACAAUAUGAUUUCUGGGAAUAUUCCAAUAAACAUCGGAAAUUUGGUUGGUCUUACAGUAUUUGUGAUGGGAAAUACUUCUGUAUCUGGACAGAUUCCAGAGAGCAUUGGUCAGCUAAGAAACUUGGGUGUGUUAGGCCUUUACAACACUAGCUUGUCAGGCCUCAUACCUUCGUCACUAGGAAAUCUUACACAGUUGAAUAGGCUUUAUGCAUACUAUGGAAACUUAGAGGGGCCAAUUCCAUCAAACUUGGGGAACUUAAAGAAUGUGUUUGUCUUUGAUCUCUCAACAAAUCGACUCAAUGGUUCAAUUCCUAUAGAGGUUUUAAAACUUCCUCAACUUUCAUGGUACUUAGACUUAUCAUAUAAUUCAUUAUCCGGGCCACUUCCAAUUGAGGUUGGUACCAUGGUGAAUCUUAACGAACUGAUUCUGUCUGGAAACAAGUUGUCAGGCACCAUACCAGCUAGUGUUGGGAACUGUAUAUCGUUGGUACGGCUGCUGCUCGAUAACAACUUAUUAGAAGGAAGCAUACCUCAAUCUCUGAAGAACAUAAAAGGUCUUGCAUUACUGAACCUAACAAUGAAUAAGCUAUCUGGUAGUAUUCCUGAUGCCCUUGCUAGCAUUGGCCACCUGCAACAACUGUAUCUUGCACACAACAACUUGUCAGGUUCCAUCCCCAAAGUUCUACAGAAUUUGACAUUGUUGGCAAAACUGGAUUUGUCCUUCAAUGAUCUGCAAGGCGAAGUGCCAAAAGGGGGUCCUUUUGCAAAUGCAACUCACUUGUCAAUUGAUGGAAAUGAUGAGCUUUGUGGCGGAAACCCUCAACUUCAUUUAGCUCCGUGCUCCACAGCAGCUGCGGGGAAGAACAGAAGGCGAAUGUCAAGAUCACUUAUGGUCACCGUAGCGUCAAUCUGCGCACUUCUAUUCUUAGGUUUAGUAGUUUGUCUUAUCCAUUUGAUCCACAAGAGGCUCAGACAAGGAAAGGAAAAUCAACUCAUUCCCACAGCAAUUGAUGAACAGCACGAAAGGGUUUCAUAUCAAGCAUUAGCAAAUGGGACUGACCAUUUUUCGCAGGUUAAUCUGCUCGGACAAGGAAGCUAUGGUGCAGUUUAUAAGUGCACUUUACAAGACAAGGGAAUUACCGCAGCUGUAAAGGUAUUCAACGUGUGGCAAUCUGGGUCUACUAGAAGUUUUGUGGCUGAAUGUGAGGCACUGCGAAGGGUGCGCCACCGAUGUCUCAUAAAGAUCAUCACCUGUUGCUUAAGCAUUGAUCACCAAGGCCAAGAAUUCAAGGCACUGGUUUUUGAGUUCAUGCCCAAUGGUAACCUAAAUGGUUGGCUGCAUCCAGCAUCCAAAAUACAGAGUCUGAGCAAUACGCUCAGCUUAGCUCAGAGACUGGACAUUGCGGUAGAUAUCAUGGAUGCUUUGGAUUAUCUUCACAAUCAGUGUCAACCGCCUAUUAUCCAUUGUGAUCUCAAACCAAGUAACAUCCUCCUUGCCGAAAGUAUGAGUGCUCGGGUUGGAGAUUUCGGCAUAUCAAAAAUCCUUCCUGAUGACACUAGCAAAACUAUGCUGAAUUCGGUUAGCUUCACUGGACUAAGAGGUUCCAUUGGAUACGUCGCUCCAGGUAACAGAAACUAACACUGAUAUUGCUAUGUUCAGUUUUUAACUUCCAUUUUGCCAAGUCCAGUUAUCUCGGCAUGAAUCGUUCGUAAGUAGCUUGCCAUGAAUCCACUGACCAAAUAGUUUCUGAAAUCUGAAUUGACUGCAGAGUACGGCGAGGGUCGCGCCGUCUCAACUCUUGGAGAUGUUUACAGCCUCGGCAUACUGUUGCUUGAGAUGUUCACCGGGAUGAGCCCUACUGACGACAUGUUCAAAGGCUCCUUGGACCUUCAUAAGUUCGCCGAGGCCGCUCUCCCCGACAGAGCCUUGAAGGUAGCCGACCCGGCAAUCUGGCUUCAUGAAGAAGCAAAGGGGGAAGACCCGGCCACGGUGAGAAGCAGAAGCGAGAGGUGCUUGGCUUCAGUGGUCGGGCUUGGCGUGUCCUGCUCAAAGCAGCUGCCAAGGGAGCGGACGGCGAUGCGGGAUGCUGCCGCUGAGAUGCGUGCGAUCAGAGAUGCCUUCCUGGUUCAAUGUGCAACAGAGACUUGGCCUGCAGUCGGCACCAGCGGCCUUGGAAGCACAGACACUUGAAUGGUGGACGGAGCUACGGUCUCUUGACGCACCAAGGAGCCACCGGACUAGCUGCUCUGCAACUAACAGGGUGGAGAAAGCGCCCCUUAAUGAAAAGAAAAACAGCCGGUGCAAGGCUUUAUACAAAGAAUGUGACAGCCACUGCGUGUAUCCGAGAGCCUUAUCUAAUCUACCGAGGAUUGUUAUGUAUGGAUGCGU